CAGCAUUUAACCAUAUCUCUUCUAAUUGCUUAAUUUUCCAUUCAUCUUAUAUAAAGAGUGUCUUAGCAGCUUUUUGUUCUUCAUUCGGUAAAUAGGAUCUAAUUAGGGUUUCUUUUUUUUUUUUUUUGCAUAAAUGGGCAAAUCCAACUUGUCUGCAACCCUAGCUAUAUAGCUUAAUUAUAUAUAUUUUUAAUAUUUAUUCAUUUCAUCAUCUUGUUGGACCUCAUAUAUAUAUGUUGAUGGAUUGCGAAAAGGCUAGUGGUGGGAAGAAAAAUCUAAUCACCAAGACAUGGCAGCGUUGUCGAUCCAUCCCGGCCAGCCGAGGCAGAUCUUUCGCAACACUUCCAACUUCCAAGCCUUCCCAGAUCUCUCUCAACAAAAGAGAGCAAAACAAAAACAAACUGCAAAAUGGCGACCCGACCCGACGCAUACGGGUCAUGCAGUCCGUUUAGUCCGACCCGACGCUCGUACAGAAAUGGCGAUACGGGUUUUGGUUCAUAUGGUCUUCUAACUCCAUCUCGGCUGAUUAGAAUGAAUUAGUGUAAUGUCUGGAUACUUGUCCAACAAGAACAAGACAGUUAGUCAUAUAUGUGUACUCGGCUGUUAGUUGUAUAAUACAACUUGUAAUUAGUAAUGCAUGCAGCUUGUAACAUAAUGCAAUAUCGGUAGAUAUAUUAAUCAUAAACAUGUUGGUUCUAUUUUAUUUUUAAUAUAGUGCAAAAUUUAUUACCAAAAAUCUUUACAAAACCACAGCAUUCUAAUUUCCGACAGUCUAAUUUUGACAGAAUGCAACCGAAAUUAAAUUUCUGAAUUUCAUUUAAAAACUGAAAAUUUGGACGAAAAGUUAAGAUGACUGCCCAAAUUUGCUAAAAUUUGAACUUGACGACAGUAUAUUGUUGAACUAACUGACUCUACAAACAAUUUUUAAAAUUUGAAUUUUGACUGACUAUCUUUGCUAUCAAAAUUAAAUAUUUUAAAAUUCGACUGACUAUCUUUACUAUCAAAAUUAAAUAUAAUUUUGACAGAUUAAAUUCGACAAGAACCAGCUUCUUCGAUAUUAUGCGGUCGAAAAAAUUAAUUUGAUGAUUAUUUUCGACAGCUGAUAAUUUCAACAAUAUUCCGUUAUAAUUAACAAUAUAAUGUCAUAUUACAAUAAAUAAAUUAUCAUAACAUCAAUUACGAUAAUUAUUUUCAACCACCAACUAAUAGUACUCGAUGAAAAUCAGCUAUUAUGAACCACAAAUGUAGAGCAUAAUUAUUUUCGAUAAGAAGCAUAUAAUAGAAGCUCAUCUUUACACCUCGAACAGACUUGUUAGAGGUCGAUGCACUGGUCAGAAGAAGAUCUCCCUUGUUUCACGGACAAACCUAAACAUUUAAUUCUAGGUAUAGACUAGAAGCUCAUCUGAUCGGUCUGUAUUCUCUAGAAAACAUGGAGCAUUCACGCUAAUACCAAUUUUGGUCGUUUUAGUCUUUCAUAAUCAUUAUAGGAGAUGGUAUAGCAUAGAGAUAAACGAAUUUUGGUUGAGGACCCUAUAACCAAAAUGAAUUGGUAAAUCAUUUAAAUCAACUGAAUAGCCCCGGUCCUUUAUAUCGAUAUAAAGCCACACUUGAAACUUAAGAAGAGGGGUUCAAACACAUUCAAGAAAAUGAGGAGUACAAGUUAUUACCAUUUCUUCUUCGCCCCCUCCUUGUAAAAAAUACGACACGAAUAUACCCUUCUUGAGAUUUUAAAAAAGUAACUUCGAUUAAUGCAGUUUUGAAAUGUGAUAAGUAUAAAUUAUGAUUAUGGCAUAAUCCAGGCUUGAAUAAUUUGCAUUAAUACGAUGUUUAAGGAGUAAUAAAAUAUAACUAUUGACAUGUAAUGUUAUGACAUAUACGAAAUGCCAGACUCAUCUAAUUAAUUUAACAUUAUCCACUUGCCAUAUAAUUUAAACACGAGGCAUCAAUUGUUGGUGUUUGAUAAACAGGUGGCCGACGAAUUUAUCUUAAGUAUUUGGCAAACACACACGUACCACUUAUGUAUUCAAAAUAUUUGUUUAGGUAGUUUGAUUUAUUAUAAUAAUAAAGAUUAUUUAUGAAUAAAUUAUGAUCAUAAGUAAUUUUUAUCAAAAAAUUAUUAAAAAUUAAGUAAAUAAAAAAAUAUCUCAAAUUAACAUCUAGUUUUAAAUCAGUUUUGAUUUAUUUCUGAUUUGAAACCCGUUUCGAUUUAUUAUAUAAACAAACAUUCUUAAAAUUGAAACAGUUUUGAGUCUCAGCUUAAGUCGGUUUUAAUUGUCCAUCCAAAAGAUUCUUAUCAUCGUGCUUAUAUUAAUUAACAAUAGCAAGCUGUGUACUUCCCUUCAAUUAUAAGCUAUUUGUGUAUACUAGUUGCUGAACAUAAUGCUCGACAUAAUGGAUUCAUCCUCAAGCCAACUUUAACCCUAAUCUUGAUAUUGGUGGUGUUCGGCCCGGCUUCUAGAUUUACAAAUUAAAAACAGUUAUUCGUACCGAUAAAAAGUGAAGAAGUACAAAGUUGCAAAUAUUUUAAUCACUUAUAUGUUUUAACUUGUUUUUAAUUUCUACUUCACUUUUUUGCUUUAAACACUAAACACUUAUUUUAAACUUCACCGAACAGUUCCGUUAUUUUCUCAGGCUUUUGCUGUAUCAUCUUCAUGAUUCCCGUGUAUUGGUUGAUGAACUAAUGCUCGGGCGGAAUCACAGAUAUUCAACAUAGAACUUGUGUACACAAAUGUUGUGUUUGGUUGGGGUGAAUGAUUCCGGAAGGAAUGGAAUGAAAAAUGAACUAUAUUAUGGGCAAUUGUUAACAAAUUUGAUCCGAUACUCCAUUCCAUUCCUUACAUUAUGUGCUAGAGAUCAUACCUUCAAUUUGGGAUGGAAUGCUCCAUUCUCUCCUACCCCCAAUUUCUUCUCAAAUCUCAUCAUAGCAAUUUUGCAUUCACUUAAAUUUAUUCUAAAAUUUCCCUCCUAUCUCUAUUAGUUCCAAGUAAUUUUACUCAUUCCAUUCCAUUCCAUCCAUUCUCCCCAACCAAACACAACAAAAGCGUACAAUAGGGAAACUACGGUUGCGUCACUGCGUUCAACUCUAAAUUAUACAUGCACGUGACAUAUCAAUAAAAUGCAUGGUUUUUAAAACAAGAACUUUAACUACAAUUUUUCAACUAAAAUUAAAAGCAGAAUUGGGCGUUAGUUUUAGACUAGUUGCUACUUGCUGGCAGUUGUAUGUUUACUUUCUGUUUACAAUCUUAUGGACCAUCCGAUCUGUAACUAAGAUUGCCUUUUAUAUAAAAUUUUUAUAAUUUGUGGAUUGGUCAAUAUAUUUUCUUUUACACAAAACUUUUUUAUGCCUAAUUGUUUGGUAACAAUUAUUCCUCCACACCUUAUUUUUCCACGCUGCAUUUUAAGCGAUAUUCGAUUUUUUGAUAUAUAAAUGUCAAAGUAUACACAAUAUAAGGAUAAUACCUGACAAAGUUCUUAAUUCUUAUGUUAGGAGCAAGAUGGUAAACCUUUUUUCAUGGCUUGUGGCUUAUAAACAGUUUAUUUUAUUCCUACUAUUUAUGUAAAGAAACUGUAAGUUAACUUUCCAUUUAUGAGGUAGAAUUUGAAAUAAUAAACACUUCAUUUAAUUAAGUAUCUUACAAAUACUGUAAUAAUUUUGUAGAAGACCUUUUCUAUGUCUUAUAUUAUUAUUUACUAAAAAGUUAUAACCCCGUUCUGACUAUACUUUAUUUUUGAUACACAUGAAAAACGAUAGGACCUGACAGUUUCUCACAAAAUAUAGUUUAAUAAAUUAAUUUUUUUUCUUUCUCAAUAAAAAUUUAUUGUUUAAACUUUUAUGCACAACAUACACAUUUUUUAAGAAAAUGGUGAACUCCAUUUUAAUGUACAUUCGAAAUUCGUGUCAAGAAAAAUGUAAAAAUCAGAGGGACCCAUGGAGUAUAUAUAUAUUUUUUCAAUAUUCUUAAAUAUAAAUAUGUAUAAAGUCGCCGGGCAUGGUCGCAUGGAGCUAGCUUUACUUUUCAACUAACAAAUCCAGCUGAAUGCAGAUUAGAAGUAGUGGUCCAUUACGUGUUUGUCGUUAUAUAGAGCCCUUUAGUUUUUAAUGCCUUAGACGAAUACGAACACUUUGGCGUCGUUGACAUAGUAAUCCAUCAUUCGAAUCAGGCCGGGGGAGGGAGUAUCUGGCUAGAAUGGAUUAGGCUAUACAUAUAUAUGCUCCAUCUGUCCGCAUGUCCCUCUCAUUUUUUUACAGUUUUUUUACACUACUCGACACGCAUUUUAAGAAGCAUAUACAACAUAGUUUUAUACUUUAUUUUUUUAUUUUUUUUAUAAAAGUUUAAACAUCAAAUUCUUAUUUAGAAGUGAAAAAAAAUUCAAAAUAAUUUCUCAAACUACAUUAUAUGAGGGCAUUAGAAUGCGUGUCGAGCCCCGUUCACACAUAAACAAAUUAGGGUGAUGGAGGGAGUAUAAAUGUAACCAUUUUACAUUUUACUAAUCAUCAGCUCUCUCAAAUACAUCAUCUCUUAAAUAUCUUUUCCACUUUGUUCUUUAAACAACAAUAUAGUCUAGCUAGGGUUUGUUUCCGUGGGUAAACUGCCGUAAACCUAGAGCAACACUAUCAAACCCUAUAUAGAGCAACACUAUCAAACACUCGACCUUAGGAAUAUUAUUAUUAUUUAUAUUCAUUUCUAUCAUCUUAAUUCUUUUCUAUCUCAACCAUAUACGUACAUGGAGUGGGAAAAGUUGAGCAAUGUUAAGAAAAAUCUAAUCACCAGAACAUGGCAGCGUUGUCGAUCCAUCCCGAGAAGACGGAAAUCUUUCGCACCACUUUCAAUUCUUCCCAGAUCUCUAUCAUGCAAAGAGAGCAAAACAAACUGCAAAAUGGCUCCUCGUGGUUGCUUCUUCGUCUACGUCGGACCGGAGAAGCAGAGAUUCGUAAUCAAGACCGAGUACGUGAAUCAUCCUUUAUUCAAAAUUUUGCUCGAAGAGGCCGAAACCGAAUACGGUUUUAUGAGCGACGGUCCUAUCUUGCUUCCAUGUGAUGUGAAUCUUUUUUACAAAGUCUUAGCAGAGAUGGAUAGUGGUAAAUGCGAGAAUCAAGUUUACAUGAGGUCGAAAUCAUGUGGCCUUGCAUACGGACUAUGUAGUCCGUUCAGUCCGACCCGACGAUCGUAUAAGAAUGGCGGUAUGGGGAAGGAAUUUGGUUCAUAUGGCCUGCUUACUCCAUCUCGGCUCAUUAGAAUGAACUAGCUAGUAAGUGUCUGGAUCCUUGUCCAAAAAGAACAAGACAGAUUGGUCAUAGGUAUGUAUUUUGUUAAUUAUUUAGAAAUCUUCGCGGCUUGUUUGUAUAUAUCCCACCAUACAUAAUCUAUUGUUGCAUAAAUCAAUAAUACAGUUCAAGUUUGUCUUUCUACUGUCAAUUAUAAUUGUUGCAGUUUAAAUAAAAUGACAUCCGAAACCUAGUCAUACAAAGUAUCAUUUUCUUCGGCGACAAUGCCGAUAAAAUAUUGAAAUAUAGACAUAUAAUGUAAAAUAUUUUGAAAGAUAUCCACCUGUUUCCUCAGAUAGAUUUAGUGAUACAUAGAGAUUGUUAGUGUCAUAGCUAGUAGUCACCAUUUUUAAUCACGGUACAGCUCAGAGGACCAUCUGACCGGCCUGUAUUCUCCAGAAGACAUGAAGUAUUAAUGCUAAUAUAUACCACUUUUCGUUUUUUCCAGCAAGUCUUUCGGAACCUGUAUAAUUAGAUCAGUUUAUGAUCAUGAUGAUGGAUAUUGGUAGAGGAAAGCGAUAAAAUAAUUAAAGCACAAUUGCUAAACUACUUCUCUCACUGCCAGACACCGAUUCUAAGUACUUCCAAGGCAACCUGCAUCAAACUGUGAUCAAAUGAGUUCAAUCGUUCAAUUUUAUUUAGGGGCCUACUUUCUGUAGAAAUUUUGAGAUACAUAAAAGGUACGCUAAUCAUGGUUUAUUUUACUUGCACUCUCAAAAUUCAAAAUUAGUAGGGUAUUGAUAUAGUGAUUAUGGUGGAGAGACUUGGAAGACCGAAAAGAAAAAGCACUUCAAACUGUGCUUUUCAUAUCGGUUGGGCUAUAUUUUCAUGAUCAUCAAAGAAAUAACAAAUAAUUGCACUCUCAUCAUGUGAAGCCGAGUAUCUCGCGGUAGCGGUGGCAGCAUGCCAAGCUUAUGUGGUUAAAUUACAAUUUGGACGAGUUAAAUCUUGUAAAGGACGAUCCGGUUACCAUAUUUAUAUAGAUAAUAAAUUUUCUAUUUCUCUCGUGAAAAAUCCGGUCUCACACAGUUUUAGCAAACACAUCGACAUAAAAUAUCAUUUCUUCACGAAAUAGUUAAUGAUAAAAUCAUGGAGCUAGUGCACUAUUGAACAUAAGAUAAUCUAGCCGAUAUUUUCACAUAACCGUUAAAGUCGAACGUGUUUCAGAAAUUAAAACAAAUUUUGCAAUGCAAAAUCCGAUUUGAGGGGAGUGUUAGAAUUCAAACCCUCGUAAGUAUAGUAGCAGUAUUGGUAAUAAUGCAUGGAAAUUAAUAGGCAUCCUAGAAUUAUGGAUUUAACAAUAUUGCAGCAGCAGCAUCUGGAUAAAAUAUAGGGGCUGAAUUUAAAGAUGAUGCGAAAUCAGAUACAACUGCAUACAUGUACAGCUACAAGAAAUUUGAAGCAUGAAAGUGAACACGUACGGAGCAUGCAUAUACUAGCAGAUUAGCAGUCAUCCAGGAUUAAAAGGCUCGGUUUUUAAAGAUAUAAGGUCUGGAGGCUGACAGUGAUUAGAUGCAGUAAACAUCAAAGGAGUAAAAUAAGGUAGGCUGAUGAUAACACCGUAAUAUCAUAAAUUAAUUAUUAGAUCAGCCCGAAGCUUUGGUACUAGAAAAAGAAUAAAAGCUCUGUGUUUGUAACAUUGUGUAAUAAUUAUAGUUAAAUUAUAAACCGAAAAUGAUUUUCCUUUUUUUUUAAGCCAUAUUAUUAAUAGAAAAACCAGCAUACAACAGACAGAAGAGCUACACUUGCUUGAAACUAGAACAGCUGAAAAUAACUACUCCUGAAACAAAGAGAAAAUGAUAAGGAAGUCCAUCACCAUUUCAAGAGAAAGGCUAUAAGUCCAUAAGACUAAUAUUGGAAUACCCGCUUCCAACCUUCACAAUAAAGUACCAAACACCCUUCAAAUUUGAUGAGCUUAUUCAAGAAACGAGUUGAUUUUAUCAUGAUACAACCAAGUCUGAUUUCUAAAUAAUUGAAUGAUAAGUCCUGUAGAAUAUAUUCCGUAGUAGAGAUAUAGUUAUCAUUACAAAUAAAAUUAUUUAAUUGAUCUCAAAAGACUUCUAAAAGUUUAAGGAAAAAUACAAAAUUCAUUUGACACCCGGAGAAUUAUAGUAUUCCCCAAUAUUUCAAAAUUUAACGAUAUAAAACAAUAUUAAGAGUUGAGCUAGCCAGAUAAAAAAAAAAAAUCAAUACACCAUUUCAAUAUCGUGUUAAAUUUUUCUGUAUAAUAAUUUUGGUUGUAUAUAUGAUUGAGGAUCACGCACUUUUCAUACAAGUGGUAUUGAAAUUCAAUCGCGUUUUUUGUAUGCGGGUAAGUCAUGAAAAUGGGGUCACUUGUUCAGUAACAAAAUCAACAAUUCGAUGAUUUUUAUUAUGUACAUGUGAGCUAAAUUGGAUCCAAAUAUAAAAGAAUAAAUUAUAUACAUGAUUGGUGGUGGCUAUAUAUUUUAUCAAAUUUCAAAAAAUGAUUAAAAUUUCAAAUUAAUAAAUUAAUGGCCGGAUCCAUUUUCUAAUAAUAGUUCCUACUAAGUUGUAACAUGAGAAUGACUCAUUAUUUUAAAAGUCUAAAAUAAAAUUUGUCCAUCCUUUAAUUAAAAAAUGAGAUACAUAAAAAACUAUCAUUAUUUUAAAAUAUGUAAAAACCAAAAUCGAUCGUUAAUAUGUAAAUUUGAAAAUUUAACUAGUUCAGAAAUUCGACAUGAAAAACGGCUCAAGAAAAAAUUCUGUGGGAGGCAUUUGCGGAAUGAGGAUCUCCGACCAUCAAAGUCUUUAGCUAAAAAUUUAAUUGGCAUAUUAAUUAAAAACGAUAAAUAUAAUCAUUUUUGUUAAAAAUUCACACUCCAAUCAUACUCAUCCCGUGCCUAUAAUUAUAUAUAGCUAACCUCUUAAUAAUCAACCUCUUAUGAAAGGCUAUAUUAGAGCAUCUCCAACCAUGAGAAGCCCUUAGCUAAAAGUCUAAGUGUCUUACCAAAAUUAAAAAUUAUAGCUAAUACCCACAAAAAACAGCACUCCAACCAUAGCAAGCCCUUGUCUAUAAUUAUAGUCAUCCCCUAUGGAUGACUAUAUAUAUUUGUCGAACCACUACAGAUCUGUAGUGAAUUCCACGUCAUCUCUCGCAAUUUAUUUUCCACCUUUCCGCCGAUUACAUAUUAUUUAUUACUAUAUUAAACUGAUAUAUUUUAUUAAUAACAUAUUAUUUUUAAAUUAUAGACAACCAAUAUAGCUAAUACCAUCGAAACAGAUGUCUUAGAGCAUCUUCAACCAUGAGAAGCCCUUAGCUAAAAGUCUAGGUGGCAUUCCAAAAUAAAAAAAUUUAGCCAAUGCCCAAAAAAACACCACUCCAACCAUAGCAAGCCCUUGUCUAUAAUUAUAGUCAUCCUCCUAUGGAUGACUAUAUUUGUCGAAUCACUACAGAUCUGUAGUAAAUUCCACGUCAUCUCCCGCAAUUUAUUUUCCUCCUUCCCGUGGAUUACAUAUAAAUUAUUAUCAUAUUAAAAUGAUAUAUUCUAUUUAUAACAAUCUAAAUAUUAAUAAUACACUAUUUUUAAAUUAUAGCCAACCAAUAUAGCCAAUACCAUUGAAGCAUAAUGUCUUACAGGCUCAGCAAAUUUUACAUUAUGUCUUACAGGUCCAAUUUAGCCAACGAUUAUAGCCAACGCCAUUGGAGAUGCUCUUACAUGUUUAGUAAGUUUUACAUAAUGCCUUACAGGUCUAAUUUAGUCAACCAUUAUAGCUAACCAUUAUAGCUAACCUCACUGAUUAUAGUUUGCUUGACCAAGUAUAAUAUGUGGGAUAUAUUUGAUCCAGAAAAUAUAAUUUAGUAUGAUGUGGUAUAAAUUUCAUCUAAGAAAUAUAAUUAUUGGCUACAUUGCAUUGAAAGUUGAAAUAAGACAACUAAUUUAAAACAAUUUUUAGUUAUCAAAAGUGGAAAUAUAAUAUGAAACAGAGGGAGUAACCGCCAAAUAUGUGCUCUUGGUUUCAAAAUCAAUGAUUUCGAUUUUCGUCAGCUUGCAUUAAACAUGUCUUUAAGCUUUGGCCGGUUAGCUGAACUCUAUUAAUUUCAAUCUCUACAGUUUCUUUUUUAUCACAUUCCUCAUUCGUAUUACUUACUCCCUCCGUCCCAAUGAAUAAUAUAUAUUGGGAUUGGACACUCUCCACCAAAAAAAAGUGUAAGAAAUGAGUAAAGUUAGAUGAAAAGUGGUUGAAUUGGUGGGUCCUACUUAUUUUUAAUACUCCCUCCGUCUCAAUUUAUAGGUCCAUUUUGGAAUAAAUACACAUAUUAAGGAAAGAAGUUGGUUAGAUAGAAUCUUAUCUCAUUUAUCAUUAAUUAGUGCAUUGAUAAGUGAGAAUAUAGUUGAGUUUCAAGAAAAUCACGAUAAAUAUAGGGAUUUGGUGCAUUGAGAAAUGAGAAUAAUGUUGAGUUUCAAAAAAAUCACAUUUAAUAUGUAGAUAAAUUUGUAUUGAAAGGGCCCGCAAGGGUUGGUUCAGCUGGUUAAAGAGGGGACAAGUAUCCUCUUGAUCACAGGUUCGACUCCCGAAGGGAGCAGAAUUGAUGAUUAUGCGCUCGGGGGUUUACCCAGUGCGCACCCGAAGGGUAGCACCCGAAGGGUAGCGGCUGCGGGUUCCUACGUGGAAAAAAAAUAACUGUAUACAAUUGACCGGACGGAGGGAGUACAACAUGUUUUAUCAAUUAUACUAAUCGACCAAGUAUAAAUACAUGAAGAUGGCGUAUCAAGGCUCGAAUAAUGUCCACUAAUUAUUCUAACGUUAUCCACUUGCAUGCUUGUUUCAUAAAAGCAUACGUCAUUUAAAUAUACAACACGACUACACGAGCCAUCGAUGGUCGAUGUCAACUAAUGGCAUUAAAACAGGUGGUCGACGAAUUCGUCGAAAGUGUGUGAAAUACACACGUAGCACACGAACGUGAUUAUAAUAUUUGGGCUAAACCAAGUGAGACAUGCCAUUGCAUAUAUUUUCUCAGGUAUAUAUAUAUAGGCCAACAUUCCACAGAGGGACUCCUUAUAUGGAGUUACAUAGUGCAUCAUUAUAAAUCAUCAAUUUUAUUAUAAAUUCUGUUAUAGAAUACAUAUAAAACGUGAUUCUAAUAUAAAAUACUAUAAAAUAAAUCUAUUUUAAGUGAUUUAACACUUAAAAUUUGAUUAAAAAAAAUAUAUUUUCGAAACUGAUUCUACAACAGAAUAAUUCUGGAUGAUUAUUAUUCUGUUAUAGAAUCAUGUUGAGAUAUUGCAUAAUUUUAGAUGAUCUUUGGAAUAAAAAAAUUGUAUAACUUCGUUUUCGGUUUAAUAAUCAAAAUUUGCAAUUAUAUUUCAUAAAAAAUAUAAUAGAAUAUAUAUUAUGUAUAUAUUUAUAAUGGUGUGCUACGUAACUCCAUAUAAGAGGGUAUGCUAUGGAGUGCUACCCAUAUAGGAGUAUAUAAUAUUGAUUUAAAUAAUAAAUCAAUUAUAUACCUUGCUCAUCUGUGAUUAGGGAGUGCCUGCAGACUAAUAAACGGAAAGGAGAGGCGGUAGAAAAUUUUAUAAUCCCUCCCUCAGUUCCCAUAUAAUAAACUUUGUGUACGUAAUUAUUUUCUAAAUUUAUUUUAAUAAAAAUAUAAAUGUUAAACUCUUAGUCAGAAAAAAGAAAUUUCAAAAAGAAAGCGUAGAAGUUUGUUGUUUUAUUUUACCUCAAAUUAUGUUUAAAAAGUCAUCACAACAUCUAUAAUCUUGAAAUGGAGGGAGCAUGCAUAUUAUAUUAUAUUAUAUUUAAUUUGAAAAAUGAAAUUAUUAGGACAGAUUCCAAUAUUUAAAGAAUCCAAAUUAUAAAUUUAGCACUGGACCCUAAAUACAUAUUCCCUGCAUUAAUUUUAUAUCUCUAAUUUUUUUAAUGUAUUACAAUUUAUACAUCAUUAUUAAAGAUGAAUAAAAAAUACUUCGGCGUCGUUGACAUUGAAUAGCAUUAUUCGAACCAGCCCGGGGGAGGGAGUAUCUAUAAUGGUAUUAGGCUAUAUAUAUGUGCAACCUUCCACUUUGUUCUUUAAACAACAAUAUUUGAGUCUAGCUAGGGUUUCUUUGUAUUAGUAUCUUCAAAUUUUACUUAGGUUUUAUUGUUCAUUUGAUUAAUUUUCACUUGUUAGCAUUUCGCAUAUAUGGGCAAAUCCAACUCUUCUGCACCAUCAAUUCCCAUUGUAAGCUCUUCCAUGCUCAAUCUCGCAUACGACAGAGGCUGAAUUUAACGACAACUACCAAACCCUAGCUUGCAUUAUUUUCUUGUUUUUAUUCCAUCGUUUUUUUUUCUUCGAUUUGAUCCAUUUAUAGAUUCAUGGAGUGCGAAAAGGUGAACGGUGGUAGGAAAAAUCUCAUCACCAAAACAUGGCAGCGCUGUCGAUCCAUCCCGGCGAGCCGAGGCAGAUCUUUGGCAACACUUCCGAGCCUUCCCAGAUCUCUCUCAACAAAAGAGAGAAAAACCAACUGCAAAAUGGCUCCUCAUGGUUGUUUCUUCGUCUACGUAGGACCCGAAAAACAAAGAUUCGUGAUCAAGACCAAGUACGUGAAUCAUCCCUUAUUUAAAGUAUUGCUCGAAGAUGCAGAAAACGAAUACGGGUUUAUUAGCGACGGUCCUAUUUUGCUUCCAUGUGAUGUGAAUCUUUUUUACAAAGUCUUAGCAGAGAUGGAUGAUAGUAAAUGUGAGAAUGAAGAUUACAUGAGGUCCAAAUCGUGUGGCCUUGCAUACGGAUCCUAUAGUCCGUUUAAUCCGACCCGACGAUCGUAUAAAAAUGGCGUUAUGGGUAAGGGAUUUGGUUCUUAUGGCCUGCUCACUCCAUCUCGGCUCAUCAGAAUGAAUUAGUUAAAAUGUGUGGAUACUUGUCCAAGAAGAAGAAGACAGGUAGUUGGUUGUUUGCAUGUAUGUUGUUAAUUGGUUGUGUUUAAUUAGUAAUCUUAGUUAUAAUUUGUAAUUUUCAAUACAUACCGAAUGUUAAAACCAUCAAUAAUACAGUUCAAGUUUGUCUUUCGAACGUCACUAUUAAUUAGUUACACUGAAGCUGAACUGGAUAUGGACAUUUUUUUCCUUUCUUUUAUGACGACAAACCUCAAACUUUUCUAUUAUUUUUGAUAAGAUUUAAAAUCUAAUGUGUCGUAAAGAGAAGGUUUUUAUCUUCUUGGUAAGAUUCAAAAAUUUGACAUCACGUAGAAAGANNNNNNNNNNNNNAAGAGUGUGAGGAAAAUAAUUAGAUCAAGACACGGACAGUUGGGGAACAUUAAUAAUCACUCUCAUCGUCCCUUUUAUAUAUCCAUUUUUCAAUGAUCAAAUCGACAUUUGUUGACCAAAGAUUGAGGACAAUCAUUUUCUUAUUUUGAAAAAAUGAAAUUUAUAUUUUAAAAUAAAUUAUACAAUUAAUAUUAUAAUGAUAUAACUUUUUUAAUAUUUUUUCAAUAUUAUAUAAUAUAUACAAAGUUCAAUCAAUCAAAUUUGGAUCAAUUUGGUCAUUGAAAAUCAAAACCGGAUAACUAAAACAAGACGGAUGUUGUUACAAGGAAAUUUUAGCUACUGAGCUGGAUUCCUGGCUAAUGAAAGGAAGAAUUAAUCUGAAAAUGAUUAGUUGACAAAAUGAUAGUGGUUGGGACUUGGGAGAAGUUAGUAGUAUCUUAACCAAAUAUCUCUCAGGUGACGAAAUUAGAGUUGGAUCCCGCAACCAACUCGAAUGACCAAGUCAAGCCUAACACAAAUUUAUAUUCUUAUGUACACCAUGUCAACAAUAAUCUGGUUCAACUCAAGUUAGUAGGUGAUCUGUUUUUCUGUUUACUAAAUCCAAUUACCUCUUUCUCGAAAUGGUUUCUGAAGAUUUUGUUUUACUAACGAGUCAGUGUUUACUUGAUAUCCGUUAGCUAGAUGUAAAACUAAAACAUCGCCGAAUGAAAUAACAAAGUGCCUUAAUUCGUCCAUGAGAGAAAUUACAGUAUAAAUAUGUAUAACAUAUAUAUGAUGCUUGAUUAUAAUGAAGUGAUGCAGUAUCAGCCAGCAUUUCGAACACGAAAUGUUCUGAAUAAUUAGAUGUUCAUCGAUUCUUCGAAACGUUUCAUUGCAGAAGCUGGCAAGCCGAGAAGCACAUUGAUGCUUUUACGCGUAUCUCCGUGUGACAGAAACAAGAUCACUUCUUUCUCCGGCAAUGCAACAGGCCCUGAUAGAAUAGGCUCGCCCCACCCGAAAUCGGUUGUGUGAAAAGCCAGCCUAGACCAAGUAGUGAUCAGAAGAGUCGCGUCUAGAGAAGGCCUUGCUCUGGUCACUUCAAAAUAGUCGAUUGCUGAUUUCAUGUAGUUAUCUGUCACCAAAUUUACGGCCUCGUGGACUAGCUUGACAGUGAACGACAACGGAUUCUCCACGAGGUCCCCUGAUGUGCACAGGGAGUUUGUUAAGACAAUGCCAUUGCCGAAGUACCCUUUAGGGAGUGGUGGAUUGAAUCUGGAGCGUCCGUCGACAGCAAAUAGGAGCUUUGUUUGCUGAUCAGGAUUCAAUUUUAAGGCCUGGCUUCGGGCCCUCCAGACGAAUGCUGAAAGGGCUUCAAAGGUUGUGCAUUUUUGAAGUGUACCAUCUUCCAAGGCUUUCUUUUUCAGAUAAUCAAGCUUUUCGGGGCUAAAACAGAAGGAUCUGUAGUGCAUUUCUUCUUUGUAGAGCUCAGCAGUGUCUGAAAUGUCAUCAAUUUGAGCAAAUUCUUGGUGUGGGAAUUCGAUUUUGGGAAUGUUCCUAGCUUUCAAUAUGCUUCUAUCAAGAAAUGGUACGACUUUCAUUGGUAAGUUUCUGGCAAUCUCACCCCACGAGUUCACGAAGUCCAUAGCACCAAGCCCGUCAAACAUACAAUGGUUCAUGCAUAACCCGAGAACAAAUCCUCCACAUUUGAAUUUUGUCACCUGGAAAAUCAGUUUUAAAACCGGUUGGUAUCGGUAAAGAAAUAGUGAGAACAAAAGUGGCAAGUCUUGUGAAAUUUACUAGUACAGAAGUGACGUAAUAACUAACCUGAGCAACAAGAGGAGGAAUUUCUAGCACGUUUUUGGCCCCAGGAACAUUAUAAACCAGUUUACCAAGAGUGACAGGAUCAGGCUUCGUAAUAUCACCAAUCUCUUCCAAAACACCGUUGGCCUCUGCCUCGACAAAAACAGCCCCUUCACCGGUACAAUCUAUAAUCAGCUUGCCCUCCUGGCUAAUUGUCAACCGUCCAGCAAGAGGGUAAUAGUGAACAAGAACCUUUGCUAAAGCAUUCUUAAUCACCUCAACAGCAUUCUCAUUACCUUUAUCCUCUGCUUUGAAGCAGUAAAUUGUACGAACAAUCACAGCGAUGUUCUGGUCAAGAUUUGACAGAAAGUACAGCCCCUUCUCGGUCUCCUCUGCAGGAGGAACCAGCAUUGGCUCACCUUGUUUGACCACUAGUUCAAGAUAAUCAGCACCAGAGUUUCCCAUGACAAAACACUCCUGAAUUUACAAACCUUAGUUAAAAUACAAAGAAAAAAAAGAUGACAAAGUGCAAGAUAAUGAUGAAGAUCGACAAACCUAUAAUUGAGUAAAGUAUACAGUUGGUGCUUGGAGUGUACUAACAGAAGAAGUAUAAGAUAAUUUCGUAAAGAGUUUGCAGUUGGUUAUAUAGGAAGAUAAGGAUUAAAAGAUCUAGAGAUUUGGAAGUUUUGGUUAACAAAGAUUUAGUCAUGAAAGGGACAAGGUUUGCUGCAUAUUCAGAGCAAGUACUAGAAGAAGGGCUUAUCAUAAUUAUAUUAUAUUCUAACCUUCCCCCUCACUGGAAAGCCCAUUUGUGGGUCAAGAGUGGAUCCCCGAGUCUCCCAUGAGCCUGAGCACUGAUAUCAUGUUAAGUGAUCAAUUCUCCAAAAAGCUCAAGGUGUUAGGAGGGCUUACCAGGAUCAUAUUAUAUUCAAACAGUCGUACACAAUGCUAUUUUGGUGUAGGUGUUUCCCGUGGGGAAAAAAAGAAGACUUUUCGAACAUUUCCAUUGGAAGAAUCUUCUAAUGUCAUAUAAUGCAGGUAGGCUACUAGCAACAAACCAAACAUACCAGACAGAUGCUGGGCUGGAGUGUUUGGUGAGGUUGGCAUCCAAACUUUGUUGAUUAACCUAACUUACGCAUGAUGCUAAACCAAGUACUAUGAUGCACAAAGCACAAGUUAUAUCUUCAGUGAAGCAAAGGAGUUGCGACUACAGCUUCAUACGUUAGCCAGCAAUAACUCUUUAAAUGAGCGCAAUUAUAUGUUACCCCGUACCUGAGUUCAUAUAGACAAAUUCAGAAUAUUAGAUCUGUAAAAUCAUAAGUUGUGCAAUUUCAAAUUGGACAAAUAUCUAAAAUUCUAAAAUAUGGUAAAAAUUUCGCAGCUUCAAGCACACAGUAUAUAUAUUUGCUGAGACUGCGGAGUAGAACUUGACAACAGGUUUAAGCCAGUUAUUCCAAAACUUCUAGAGUAGCUGCAUGCCUGCAAUCAACUAACUGUGCAAAUAUUAACCACAGCCAUUGCAAUUCCAACUAGAGCGAGGCUCAUAAGACAGAAGCAACUUAUUCGUACCGUUUAUGAAACGAACCUAUAACUCAAUUUCCAACUUAUAAGUCAAAAUAUGAUAAAUUAAAAAUACUAACUCUUUUUCAAUAACUUGUUUUUAUUUUUGAAAUUUGAUUUUACAGGACCACUUAAAAUGAUAAUUUAUAAUAAUUUAUUAUUAUAUUAAUAAUUAUUAUACCAAUAUAUUGUAAAUACCUAAAAAAUUAUUCAAACACAUAAAAUAGAAAUUACUUAUAACUUCUCGUUUAUAACCAAUACACACUUCUUUUAAAUUACAUCAAACAGCCCUGUAUUACCCAGCUUCAUUUGAAUUUACUUUAGACUCCCUUAACUUGAACAAAAAAUCCUCUUGACAAAAACAAAACAAAACUACAUUUCCAGUUACAGUUACCUGGUGAAGAACAUGAGCCCUGAUGCUAUAAUACUUGACGACAGAGUUCAUAAGCAUAACUGGGGCAACCAGCACUAAGUUAACAAUUCCAUUUGGUCUAUAACAUUUACUUACACAAAACAAAACCUCGGACGACACAAGCAGCGCAGAUGAAUCAGUAAAAUGACAGGUUACAAUAUCACCAGCUUGAACCAUGACUGCAUACAGCCUUACCUUGAACUAUGGUCUAUGACAGUCAAAAGGUUCCAACUUCCAAUACAGAAGACGAUUAUUUGACAAAAUUGCACGCAGAAAGUCAUAGUAUAGACAGUUGAAGGUAAAAAAAAGAUUUAAAAUCUGAUACAAACCUCAAGGCAUCCAAGAGCACAAGUUAGAGGGUUAACAAGUGAGACUAAUGUCACUUGUUAAUCCAGAUACAAUUUAAAUCAAAACCAAGGAAAUACCAAAGUAAUAUCACAUUUGUAAUAAUAUCAGCUAAAGAUAGGUGGAGUACAGCCAAAGGGAGGCUAGCUAUCAAGACAAGCAAAAGAACUGAAGUAACAUCUACAGUGCAGCCCCCAAAGUAUAGAGCUAAAGUCAUUUGAAAUAGAAUUUAUUUGAACCUUCAUCUGGACUGGGGGACCUGCCCCAUUUACUCGUUACACAGCCUUAUGUGCAGCAGAUGGAUUCAAUAGCGUUUCCUAAACUAUGCCAUCUAAGCAUUGUUAUCAUCUUCUCCAUCCCCUUCCCCAUCUUCUCCGUCAUCAUCCUCCCCAUCAUCAUCCUCAUCAGUCAUGUUGCUUAUAACAUCAGUAAUAAUUAAUCUCACCUCAGCUUUUCGGUGCGAAAGAUCUACAUCGAAGUGGGUACCUAAUAAAAACGACACAGUUUAGAAGAUCAAUGUUGAUAAGUAGCUUAUGACUUGAGGAAGGUAAAAACAAAUCACUUCGAUAAUUUUCACUUACAGAGCUGUCUCAGUAUAUCAGAUAAAGUUGCCUGCAUGGUAACAGAUACAAUGAUGUUAUAAUUAGUGAAUAACCUUGCAUAGCAUAAUUCAAAAGAAAAUAUUGUUAAAUUAGAGCUGGAAGCAAAUAUUACUAACCGUGUUGAAAUCAACUUUUUUCAGAAUAUCUGCUACAACUGCAUGCAUCUCCUCUUUACUUGGUUCAGGCUUAGCCUUUUUGCCACCUUUUUUAUUUCCUACUGCCAGCAAAGUUAAUAUGAAAUAUUAUCACUUGCAGGCUUUGGUAAAAAAUUCUAACAAGUUUUUUAAUUGAUAAUGAUCUACAAGAUGGGUUGUUUUGGUGUCACGUCUUCUAUACUCAACUUUUUAGCCAUUCGUCGCCUUAAAAAAAUUUGUCUAUUACAUAAAUGGACAAAUAGGGGUAUACGUCAUAAUUCAUUCACCAAGAGUAAAAACCAGAAGAAUGCAAUUUACACAAUGCAGCAUGUAAUAUCAUAUACUACAGCUAAACCUCCAUAAUUGAAAAUCAAUAAGAUAAUGAAAAUGUCAGUUUUCUUUAUAGGCCAAAAAUUCAAAGUUGUCAAGCAUCAGAUUUUAAAGCAUUGCAUACUUGCAUAACAAGAGGAGAUGAAGUGGAGCUAUUGAGGAGAUGAGAACAUGUACAAUUAAAAGAACACACUGGCUAGGAAGGUUCAAGAAUAUAUCAGAAAUAACACACCUUGAUCUUUUGCUAGUGACUUUGUGGAAGACUUGUUCGGUUCUUUUUUGCCUGAGGUUUUCGCUUUUGCAGAUAAACUUUCAUCCUUGUGUUCCUUAUCCAGCUUUUGCUUCUUAGUCGAAGGCACCUUGGGUUUACGAGAUGAGCCAGAAGCUACACUGGUGUCAUUCUUUUCAGCAUCACCCAUGGACAUUAAAGACUUCUUAGUCGGCUUUGGAGUUAUUUUGGAUGAUUUCAUAGGAGGGGUCCUUUCAACAGAAGUUGAUUUGCCUGCAGUUUUAACCCCAGAAUCAUUCUUACUAACUGCCUUGGAAGAAUUCUUUUUGCUUGUCAGUUCCCUUCUUGGUUUACCUUUCUUGUUCUCUUCCUCAUCUUCAGACUUACUGUCCUGAUCACUCUCCUCUAAAUCUUCAUCAUUUUUCUCUUCUUCCGACUUAAUGUCCUGAUCAGUCUCCUCCUUUGAAUCUUCAUCAUUUUUCUCUUCUUCAGACUUACUGUCCUGAUCACUCUCCUUUGAAUCUUCAGCAUUUUUCUCUUCUUCAGACUUACUGUCCUGAUCACUCUCCUCCUUUGUAUCUGCAUCAUUUUCACCAUCAUCCUGUGAAACAUCUCCGUUUUCUGAGGGUUCAGCUUCAUCAUCUUCUUCUUCCUUUAAAGGUCUCUUACGUUUCUUCUCAGAUUCAGACUCGAGUUUUUGUUUCUAUUAAACAGUGAAAAGAUUAUGGCACUCUUUAGGUUUGUGAUGAGACAGCCACGGAAAAAAAAGAAUAAUCAGAGAAUUCAUGCACAUCUAGCUAAUAUACAUGCAUACACAUGUUAAUAGAAGGAUCUAAAAUCUAAACUGUUACUGCAAACUAAAUAUAUGAAUCAUUAUGCCACAACAAAGAUUAAAACAUACAUAUAUUUAGAUAUUAAAUCUCUGAAAGAACAUUACAAAAACAUGCUAUGUUGAAAUAGUAACUUUAAAUUGCAAGAAAUAAACAAGCUGUAGAUUCUAUUUUGAAGUACUUUAUAUUUCAACUACACUUGUGUAUGUGUCUGCACUUCAUUAGCAUAUGAAAUGGUUAUCAUAAGCAUAUUGAAACUAUGAAGUAACCGGCAAUUUCAAAAAAUAGCAGAUAGUUUCCAGCCUCCUAUUUUUUACACAAUUGGAAACACGGACAAUAUAAAGAAUUAAAUAUAGGUAGGCAACAUAAUGAUACAUUGACAAGCCUCCCCCCUGGAGGAGGGGUAAUUAAAUACUGUAGAAGAUAACGCUAUCUAUGAGCAGAAACAUAAUUUUAUUCAAACAUUAAAAGUAGCUAUGUAUCAUCAAUUCAUCAUUAUGUUAGUAAAGUGAUAAUAUAAACAGAAACCAAAUAAAACAUAUGCACACCUUGGACUUUGUUUUUGAAGCUUUUCUCACAGAACUCGGUGACUUGCUAGAUUUUGCCUUCCUCUUCAGCUUUUUACCUUUCUGCAAACAGUAAUCAGGAGAUUUGUUUAAAAAACAAAAAACAGAACAUAUAUAUGCUUGCAAUUUUUUGUAACUGAUUUUAACUAAUCGUGUACAACAGGACAUGAGAAAGGUUUUGCAACAGAAAUGACAUCUAAACAUACGACAUGCCUGGUGUGCAUGUUUUAAUGAAAAAGCUGAAAUAUGAGAGAGAGAGAGAGAGAGAGAGAGAGAGAGAGAGAGAGAGAGAGAGAGAGAGAGAGAGAGAGCGCGCACUUUACUCUCAGCUAGCAAUUUUUCAGUUGUGGCAUGUGGAGAUUCCAAAAACUCCAAUAGCUUCACAGAAAGAUCUUCCUGCAAACAGUUAGCAAAUAAUCAGAACACUGCAUCAGUGCAUGUAGCAUUAGUAUCAGCACUUUUUUUGUGAAGACUAACCUUCUUAGAAGAGGCUUUGUUAACUGGUAUAUUAAGAAUAUCGCAAAAAAACAGCAGUUUAUCUUUGACACACCUAUCAAUCCUCUCCUUAACCUUAAUUCUCUGCUUUUCCUGCUAUAGGGUAGCAAACAAUAUACUAAACAAGCAACACUACAUCAAAGCUCGAAACAAAAACUAUAAUAUGCUUCAAAAGUAACUGCCUUAGGCCAAGGCCAGGAGAAAUGUAUAUAUGAUCCAUGUAUCAAUCUGAUACAGCACAAACUAGACAUAAAUAAAGUCUUAGCAAUAAGAAAAUGACUACACUCAAAAAUACCUCAUCUGCAUCCCACACAAAGCCAGAAAAUAAACCAAUGUUUCGUUUUAAUACGUGCACCUGCAAUAUAAUCUUAUGAUUAAUAAUAAGCUUCCUCAUAAUUCAUUAAACAAACUUUACAACAAUUUGUAUUAGUUGAGAACAUGUGCAUAUAGCCAUAUACACAAGGCCUAUCAAGAGCAAAGAACAAUACAUUAUCAAUUUGAUUCCUUCCGAUAAGAAAUAUUGGUGUAGCGCAAAGAAGACUACCUUUAUCCUCUUCCCAAAAAGAAUGCUAUGAAGUAUCUUCAAGUUUUCAUCAGGUUUUAUCUUUGACAGCUUGAAGGCCACUGAAAUGUUGAACAAUAUCAAACUGAGAGAAAAUUUAAGCUUUUCAAACAUUAUUAAAUAAUGCUAUAUUGUUACAGUUGAUAAAAGGGUUGAAAACAGCAAUCAAGAAGCAAAAAAUUGGCCACCGGACUUGUACAAGUAUAUGAAACUUGGUAGUGUAUAUUGACACCAAUUACUUUCUCCAACUCUAUCAUCAAAAAACAAGAUAAAUAGAUAUUUUCAUGUGAUGGUAUGACUAUAGUAUAUGAUUAGAAAAACCUGCGUUCUGAUUUCACUUCAUUCAAUUAUAUAUAAACCCAACCAUUUACCGGUCAGGGCCAUAAAGGCAUAUAUAAAAUCCUAACAACAGCAUGGCAUGUUCAAUUAUCUCUCAAACUAUCUACAAAUUUUCAGUGCACACAAUGGGACAAUUAGAUUGGUGGGAAUAAAUUAAAACUGUACGAACAUAAAAUAAAGACACUAGUCAAGUGCGUUUCAUACAUGCAUAACACCCAAACCCAAUACCAUGAUCUUUACCGAUACAAAAUAAAUUAUACUCAAUUGCAUAAAUAUAGAACUCGGAUGUCAUUUUUACAAGCCAAACUAAUGCAAUUCUAAACAUUCAAAAUCAUCAACAAGCGAAUCAAGCCAUACCAUUCGGAAUGUCCUUAAGCGGCAUUCCUUUCCCCUACAUUUCCACAAAAGAACUCACAUUAAUUACACAAACUUAACAAAUCAUAAUAAAGCAAAUCAACUAGUAAAUUAAAUAAAUUCAUAAAUUCAAUCAAAUACCUUCUCAAUCAACACAGCUUUACCAGCAGAACUUCUCGAAUCCGACAUUUCCAUAUACCUCUCAACUGUCUUUCUCUCCCUACUAGGUCUCUCAAUCGGAGUAGCCGGAGCCUCCUUCACGCUCCCUCGCCUUCUCCGCUUUUUCGCCACAACUUUCUCAUCCCCACUCUUCUCCUCCUCUUCAUCACAAUUCUCCUCCUCCUUUUCCCCAUCUUGCUCACCAUCUUCCCCUUCCCCUUCUUCUCCUUCAUCGCCUUCCGCCUUUUCGACAUCUUUCUCUUCAAGAACCUCCUCUUCCUCCACCAAUUUCACAUCUUUCUCUCCUCUCUCCGCACCAUUUUCAACUUUCUCAACAACCCUCUUCUCCUCUCCCACAAUUCCAUUCUCAGACGCCAUCAAACAACACUUUCACCACCACAAACAAGAUUCAAGAUUUCGAAAAUUGAAUCUUCUGGGUGGCCGGAAAAUGGGAUUUGAAGAAAACAGUCAAAAGGGUCGUCAAGAAACCCUAAAAGAUUGAAUCUUGGGGCACGAGAGAGAUGGGGUUUUGGGUAAAUUGGGAAGAGAGACAGAGUAUAUAAGAGAGAGACAGAGUGAGAGACGGCAGCUUUGUAUUACAAAAUCUGGGAAUUUUUAGUGAGGCGGGUUAUUUUUGCUUUUCAAACUUUUCGUUCCAAAUAUUUGCGCGGCAUGGUGUAUCAAAAUUGGUUGUUAUAAAUCCAAAUUAAUGCUCUCUAUCUGGUAGGGAUGGGCAUCGGGCCCUUCGGGUCGGGGAUUGCUAUACCCGGCCCCGAUCCCCGAAUCCAAACUCAAUCCCCAUCCCCGGCCCGAUCCCCAUCGGGGAUUAUUUUUCGAUCCCCAUCCCCAGCCCGAUCGGGAUUCGAGUAUACCUGCGGGGAUUCGGGGAUUUUUAAUUUAAGCUAAAAUUUCUAUUUAAAUACUUAAAUUCAUAAUUACGAUUAGUUUCUAAUAUGUCUAAUUAAUACCUAAUCAUUUUAAUAAACAGAUCUUCAAUGAUUUAAUUAUGAUCUUUUUAGUUUUAAGACUCAUAUUAAUAGAAAUAAAUAUUAAAAUUUAUUUCAAUAAAUUUAAUUAUAUUAAAGAGGUAUAUAAACAUGUUAAUAAAUGAUUAUAAUAUAUAUGUAUAUAUUUAUAUUAUAUAUAUAUAAUAUAUAAUAUAAUAAUCGGGUCGGGGAUCGGGUCGACAAUCGGGGGAAAUCGGGUCGGGGGUCGGGGAUCGGGCCGGGGGAAUGUGAAAAACCGUACCCGACCCGAUCCCCGAUUUUUUUUCAAAGUCAUCCCCGAUCCCCGGCCCGUACUCGAAAAAAUCCCCGAAUCCCCGCACUAUUCGGUGCGGGGAUCGGGUCGGGAUCGUGCGGGUCGGGAUUAAUGCCCAUCCCUAGUAUCUGGCCUGAUUUAAAUAUAUAAUUUCGAAAUUUCAGAUUGGAAUCAAGGAUUAAUAAACACAAAUCAACAGUCGAAUUAUUAUAGAAAUUGUCGAGGAUGACAAAUUUUUAUAUAAAAUGUAUUUAGAUGUCCUUCUAAAAUUUCUGGCUUUUCUUUUUUGUCAAAAAAAAAAAAGAUGUACUUCUAAAAUCUCUGAUUCGGUCUCUCCGACCAUUUUAAAUUUUUCUCAAAUAAUAUAUUAUAGAAUAAAUAAAAUUAAUAUACCAAAUACUAUUAUUAUAUCAUAUAGUUAUAUAAUACUUGAUUUCAAAUCAAUUUAUUUUUAAAAUUAAUUAUUGGUCAUCUGAUUAUUUCAUAAUCAGCACUUUGACAAAUUGAUUCUGAUGAUUAAACUUCACAAACAUACUUAUAACUGACGAGUAAUAUAAUUUAUAUCUAAUAAAUAAUAAUAUAUUAAGAUCAAUAUAUAAUAUAAUAAAUGAAUAAAUAUGUCAUUACUUACAAAAAUAAAUGUAUUUAUUGUUUUUUUAAUUAAUAGAUUAGGGUUGAUAGAAAAAAGGAGCGAAAUAUUUUUUUUGUUUAUACAAUUUUAAUGUCUAAACUUUUGAAUCAUAGAAAAUACAUUCUAUGAAAAAAAUAGUAAUAAAGAGAAUAGUUGUCAAAAAAUUAGGUUAUAAUAUGUUGAGUUAAAAAAUGCUAAUCGAUGAUAUUCAUGUGAGUUUAAAACAGUGAUACAAAUAUAAUCUAAUUUAAAUAUAUGGAAAAAGUUAGGUAAAUUCAUGCUAAAGAUAAAUAUUUAUGUUAUAUCUAUAAUAAAACUAAAAAGAAAUAUUAUAUUAAUAAUACUAAAGUAUAAUAACUAUUUAAAGAUUUAAUGAGUUUGUUUAUAAAUUGUGAAGUUAGCUGUUAUAUAAAAUUUCAAAAAACUACUAAACUGGUCAAAAUUAUAUGUAUAUAAUUUGAACGAUUCGACUUAAAAUAAUAUUUAGAUUUUGAGUAUUUGUUUCCGAGUACUAAGUUAUGUGAAGACCAUCAUUCUUUGGAGUAUUGGAGUCCCGCAUCCUACCAUCCAUCUUGUUCUAAUCUAGGAGCUUAUUAACCAAUCUAAUUAGAAAACUCCCUCAACAAGAAACAUUUGUGUACAUAUAGUACAUGUACGUUGUAUAACUUCUCCUGUAACGGUUAGUUUUAAACUACACCGCCAUUUUAGGGAGCGGUUUUUCCGAUAAAUCCUUGCAAGUUUUAUGUUUAUCGAAUUGAUGUCCAUGUAAUCUGUAAUUGUAAUUUUUCAUAAAUUCCGUUAGGGUAUCAGUAAUUGACUUACAGGCCUUCAUCUUUACUCUAAUUUCCAAAUGGCUGUUCGAAAAAAGCAUAAUUAAACAAUACGAAAACUGAAAGGUUAGUUCUUUCACAUAUGAAUUAGGAUGAAUCAAACUUGAACUCAUAUCUUGCAGUUUCCCAAUAAGGCAUUUCUUGUAGAUGGUUCUUCAAUUUAUCAGUAUGUUAUGCACUCUAUCCGCGUUGACAACCUUAUCCCACGAAAUUCUGGAUAUUAAUUUGGGGCGAUAGUCAAGAACAUCAAUUGAUUGAUAAUGGUUGAUGGAAAGUUCUGAAUUACAGUAGUGUGUAAAGUACUGUUUAUACGAAAUGCUAUACGGAGGUUAUAUAUAAUUAUUUAAAUUUUAAAAAUUUGCUAGUUGUCCUUCACAUCUACCAUUGAUUUUUGUUUUAGUUCAAAGGUGUAAGAUAUGAUCUCCAAAUAAUUCAAUAUAAUAAUACUCUAAAGAGCCCAACUCUUGUUUCAGAGUGCUCUAAAAAUAUCACAGAUUCUUCACAGAUUCUUCAUAAAUUGAGUUAAAAUCGUAAAUUGUUUUAACCCCACUCUACAUUGUACUUUGUUGUGUAUAACACAAUACACACACAGACACGUAUAAGAAUAUAUUUAGGUGACAUAUAUACAAAUUGGAAUCAGUUAAACAAGUAAUCACAUAAUUAAAAAACAAUUAAUUACUAUUUAUUAUUAUAUGCUUCAUCUCACAAAUUUACUGAUAAAAUAGUUCAUAUUCAAUACUAAUCAUCCAUCACACCAAAUAUAUGCAUAUCAUAUUCGUAUAUUCAUUAAUAUAUUAAUAAAACCCAACCGAUUUUAUAAUGUUCUCGAUAUCAUGAUCAUAUCAAUUCAAUUUAAUUUAACUCGAAAAUAAAUAAUCAAAUAAUUCUAUAGUAGUUAUUCGAAUAUAAAUAUAGAUGUGAGUUCCUAGCACACUACAUAUAUUUUAAUUUAAAAAAAGGACAAACAAUAUUAUUAGUUAAUAAUAUAUCUAAGUUUCGGUGAAACCUUAUUAUUUAAUUUAUGCGCAAUCAACAAAAACAUUUCCACAUAAAUAAUUAAAGCAUAAAUGGAAUUUAAAUUAAUAAAUUAUUGAUUAUUAAUAUUAUUAUUUAUCAUGAUUAUUAUGAAGAUAUUAGAUAUUAAAAUUUAAUUUAUUAAUAUUUUAGUUUUCUAAAUUUUCACGAGUUCGGCCAAACAUCCCAAAUUCGCUCCCCUCCACCCAUCUUCUCUCCUCCCCCUCCAUGGCUCCAUCUCUCUCUUACAUCACCAUGACUCCAUAAAUGUCAUCUUUUUCGGCGUCAACACAUUACACAACCCUCGAAAUCCUCCUCUAUCCUUGAUUCCUUACACCUCUUUCCACCAUUUCACCACCAUUUUCCACUUUCCUUCACCUUCAACCAUCCCCAUUUUCAUUCCUUCAUGGCUUCGCUAUCACCGCUGGCCACCAAACUCUUUCACCACCAUGACUUACCCUCACUUCAGGUUCCCACCUUCUCCUCUUCUUCCUUUCCCCUCCCGCUGCAACUAUUUGCAGGAAUCCACAUAUAUGACGAAUAAUAUGAGUAUUCACCUAAAUACAUAUAUAACAAAAUUUUCAAUAUCUCACAAACUCGGAAAAUAAAUAAAUAAAUAAAUUUAAAAAUUCAACAAAUUGGAGAAAAAUAUAAAAAUUUAUUCCACUUUUUCAGGAAAAUCAUUGAUACGAUAAUAAGAUAAUUUCAAAAAAAUAUGGGUUGUAAGUAUAAACUAGGAUUCAUGCAUCUGUUCUCUACUUGCAUCGCAGUGAUUAAGGUUAAUUUCCAGUUUGAUGUUGAUACAUUUAAUAUCAUAAAACAUAGCACCAUGAUUCAAUUGAAUGAAAAAGUGGUUUCAGCACUUAGAUUAUAACUAGCCAUAAUAAUCUUAUAUGGGCUCGAAAAUGGGUCUUUGAAGGGACAGAUGCGCCACUUGAGGAUGAGCCCUAUAAUGAUAUAGCCAGGUAGGCUUCCAGUAUGGGCCUAUGGGGAACCGAAUCACACACUAGGAGACAGAUAUCGGCAGGUGUCGAGCACGAUAUAUGAAAAAAGAGAUUGUUAGAAUAUGUCCUCAAUCGGUUGUGAAAGUGGCAGAAAGUUAGAAUUGAAGCCAACUAGAUAACUUCAUUAGUAUUAGGUAUUUUGAAAGAUGUCCACACAAAAAAAAACACGUGCGAGCUCGGGCCAAAGUGGAUAAUAUCAUACUAUCAUGGAGAUAGGCACACUUGGCAUGCCCAACAAUUAUUACUUAAAUUAUAAAAAUUGAUAAUGGAAACCUUAUUUGAUUAUUAUAAAUUUACUAUUAAACUAAUAACUUCCAACAUUAUAAUAAAUUCACAAACUUAUCAUUACAGCUUAUAUUAAUAAAAUCUUUGUGUAUCCAAAAUAUAUAAAAGAAAUAUGGUUACAUUUAAAGAAUCAUUCAGUUCCAAAGCACUAUAGAUCAGGUUAUAUCUAUAUCAAUAAUAUAUUACCAUCUCAGAAAAUCUAAAUAUUAUCUAUAAGAUUAUAUAAAGGGUCGUGUGUCUAUGGUCGUAGCCAUUGUUCACUAAAUCUGGUUUUAAGAUAGUGUGUAAAAGGUAAUAUGAUCUGCUUCCUCCAACUGUAGCCGACUGAUGAUUAUGAAUUUUAAGCUAAUAUCAAAUUAUAUGUAUAACUAUUCUGUGACAUUCAUAUUGAAAAGAUUCGUGGAUCUAGGUAUUGUAUAAUCAUCUAUCUUCGAUUAAUUAAACAUUCUUAUUGUUGUAAUUGUAAUUUUAGUGGCAUAUAGAUGCAUUUCACUUUUAUCAACAAUAAAAAGAGUAAUUGUACUAAUUUAACAUUAUACUUAUUACUUGGAUUUUCAAAGCAUUGCAUAUGCAUUGAUUUGUAACUAUUGAUUUGCAUGAAAAUAAAACUAAAGAUCGGUUAACAUAUAUAGUUUUUUAAAGCGAGGAAUAUAUGGCUAAGAAGAUUGAAAGUUCCAAGAAAAAGAAAUUGUCUGCACUUGUCGUAGAUGAUUCUAGCGUCUGCAGGACGGUUCAUGUUGCAUGCCUUAGAAGGCAUGACUUUGAAACCUAUGUUGUUGAAAAUGGUAGGGAAGCAGUUGAUCUUAUCCGUUCCGGAGAACAGUUUGAUGUCAUUUUUAUGGCUGUGGAGAUGCCAGUUUUGAAUGGUAUUCAGGUUAGUCAAAUUACACACACUAGGAUUGUUGAAGCAUUAAAGAAUACAAAUAAUACUCAAAUAUUAUUUUCAUGAUGAUAAAUAUAUAUAAUUUCAUUUCAGGCUACUAGGGAAUUGCGUGGAAUGGGAGUGAAAACCAUGAUUGUUGGAAUAGACUGUGAUUUAGGAUAUCUCGGUGAACAUCCUAUAAUUGCUGGCAUGGAUCGUAUGUAUGAGAAGCCCAUGACACAAGAGAUCGUCAUAUCUGUUCGUCAAGCGCUUCUAAACAACUACAAUAUUUAGACAUUUAUGAAUUCAAUAUGUAUCAAUGUUAUAAUAUUAUAAACAAAGUCUUCAUCUGGUUCCUUAUAAUUCUAAUAUAUAUAAUUUUGUUUAUGAUAUUUUAAGUCAAUUGCAAAAAUCAUAUUAAAAUACCUAACAUAUUAUCACAUUAUGAAAUAUAGAAACUUGGGAAAAUAUAAUUGUUAUAACCCUUUGGUAUGAGUUGAAAUUGAGAAUUUUAUGAAGAUCAUGUUUUGAUACAAGAAAAGUAUUUACAUGACACUUAAAAUAUGUGUACAAACAAAAUGAAAAUGAUAAGAAAAUGAGUGGUUAACUCGCAAACUCAUAACUAAGGAUUCCAAAAUCUUGAGGAAAAUCUAUACUUUAAAGAAAAAGGACAGCCACCUUAGUAGAGAAAUUGAUCAAGAAUCCUUUACAAGAUUUUAAGUUCAAAUAUGAGUCUAUAAUUUUAAUUAAAUAAAAACCUUUAAAAGUUUCAUUUAUGGUAGAAAAUUAAGUUCCUUAUUGAAACCAUUUAUAUGAAGUUUUUCUAUCAUCAACAAGAUUUGAUUAUAAAACAAAUAGAUAACAAGUAUUUAAACUUGAUUAAAAUGUGGCCUAUGUAGGAUAAUUGACCUAAGAAUAACUAAGGUGCACUAUUUCUUUACUCCACAAUACUUAUUCUUUGUGAUCAAAUUUCUAUUUGUCGUUCAAGUAUAUCUCUUUUCUAAUCGCAUUGAUCUGCCUUUGUUCUUAGUAAUUCCACUACGAAGUACUUUAAAAUAAUUUGGUCGAAAAAGAUAUUGUGCCCCUUUAGCUAAACUUAUUUUUCAAAAAUAAAGGUUUAUUUUUGUGCUAAAUAACGAAUAUAAAAAAAUUUCUUAACAUUAAUAUCUAUAACAAUAUACAUUUUUAAAAAAGAAUAAACUCUUAAAUUUGAAAAAAAAAAUGUCUAAACAAGCCCAUUAUUAAAGCACCUCAAACCAGUCCUUUUUAACAUAUUUAAAGGAUAAUAGUUCACUUUUAUAAAUUAUCUCUUGCAAUAAAUAUAGUAUUAAAAGAUUAUAAUCCUUGAAAUUAAUAAGUAGGGGUGUCAAACGGAUAAAACAGAUACGGAUUUGCUCAUAUCUGUAUCCGUAUCCGCUUACUCAAAAUCGGAUCCGGAUCCGGAUACGCAAAUUUUAGAAUAAAAAGAUCCGUAUCCGUAUCCGGACGGAUAUUAUCCGGAUACGGAUAAUAUCCGUAUCCGCUUUUUCAAACAUCACCAAAAAUCAAAUAUACAUUCUGAGAUUAAUUAGAAAAACAUAUUUUGAACCGUUCAACAGCAAAUGUAUACCCAAUCAGAAAUUAAUAACAUACUUCAACAGAAGUUUGGGCAUUCAGGCCAACUAUUUCGAACAAAAUAUUAAUUUUAACAACUUAAAAUCACAAAACAACACUAUUUGCAACAAUUUUAAAAAGAAAAAGUUUGAUGAAGAUAGUUCCAUUUUCUCCAUUUGCAAGAUACUUAAUGUUUCUUUUUUUUAUUUUAAAUAUUAAUUCUUUUUCAAAAUUUAUAUGAUAAAAUAAAAAUAUAAGUAAAUAAUAAAUUUAUAUAAAUAUUAUUAUAUCCAUAUAAUAAUAAUUUCGGAUACGGAUAUUUCGGAUACGGAUUCGCCUAUAUCCAUAUCUGUAUCCGCAAACCCCGGAUUCGAAUACGGAUAAUAUCCGUUUUAUUCUGGAUACGGAUUAUAUCCGUUUUUUUCCGGAUACGAUAACGGAUUUUUCGGACGGAUAUCGGAUCUUUCGGAUUUUUUUGACAGCCCUGUUAAUAAGGAAGAAUCAAUAUACUUAUAGAAAGGAGAAGCGAGGGGUGUGUAGGUGGCGCCUCUCAGAUUACUCCAUUUUAUUUUUCUAAUAUUCUGAAAUUUUUGGAUGAAAAAUAUCAAAAAUAAGAACUAUCUUUUUCAAUUUGGGAGAUAUUGGAAGCAAGUUUUAAAACUACCUUUUUCAAAAUAUAAAAAAUAAAAUUUACCUACUUUUUUUAGUAUCAAAAUUAUUAGAAGAAAGUUUCAAAUUAUGAUUUUAAUUUUAAACAAAUCAAAAAUAAAAAUUACCUUUUUUAGUUUCGUAUAUAUUGGAAGAAAGUUUCAAAACUACCCUUUUUAAUAUAUCAAAAAUAAAAAGUACCGACCUUAAUAAAUAUCAAAUCAGAAUUUGAAACUUCUUUUCGAUUAUUUUGAUACCGAAAAAGACUUACUUUUCCUCCAAAACCAUAACCAUAUUUUUGGAAAAGUGUAUAUCAAAAACAGAAAAUAUUUUUGAUAAGCCGGUCUUUUCUCAAAUCAACCCCUAUAAAUUGAAGUCAAACAUCAUAAAAUUUAACAUAAACAAAUUUUUUGUGCCUAUUUAUUUUCUCCAUCUAAUACAAUAAUGAGUUACAUUAUACUAGAGUUUUGAAUGACGAUAGAGAUGAUUGGCUAAUUACAGUAAGAGUUUGUUAGAUGUGGAGUCACCAAAUCCAAACACGGGAGUCUUAACAUGAUAUUGAUGAAUGAAAAGGUCAAUGAAUUAAUGUUAGUGAUAUAUGUUUGUUGGUUAUUUUUUUAUAAUAUUUGUUUUGUUUAUCAUACAUGUUUGUUAUUGUUAAUUUUAUAUGGUUUACUUUGUAUACACACAAAUAUUAUUCAUGUAACACUUUCAUAAUAUCUGUUUCAUCGGUUCAAACACUUUUUAAGUGAAGGUUGUUUAUAGGGUUUUAUAUCAAAUUGUCCACCUGUUAUGUCAAAAUAUCUCAUUUGACCCACCCAUCUCAUCGGGGACUCAUUUAAGCCAUUGGAACCCAAGUAUAUAUCAUUUCACCCACAUCAAUAUUCAUACCUCUUUAAUUAAUCAUUUAUCAAAAAUUAACCUUUUAACUUUUUACUAUAAAACCACUUCGACUGCUUUCAUAAUUGUGUCUAUUAUUUAUCAAAAUAUUUUGAAAAUUCCUAAAGCGACAUAGCUAUGUGGUUAAAAAAAUACAUAGCUAGAAAUAUAUACAUAUUUAUGUGAUCACCCUAGCUAUGUUGCUUUAUAAAUUCUAAAAUUAUUUUGAUAAAUAUUUUAGACAAUUAUGAAAGUGCUCGAAGUGAUUUCGUUGUAAAAAGUUAAACGGUUAAUUUUUUUUUAUAAAUGAUUAAAUAAAGAGGUAUGAAUAGUGAUGUGGGUAAAAUGAUAUAUAUAUUUGGUUUAGAGUGGCUUAGAUGAGUCUAGGGAUGGGCAUUCACCCCGCCCCGCUCGACCCUGAUCCGAUCCCCGCCCCGUUCGGGUCGGGGAUUCGGGAAAUUUUUCGGGGGCGGGGCGGGGAUCGGGUAAAGUUUUAUUAAAAAUUCGGGGAUCGGGGCGGGGUCGGGGAUUCGUGUCUCCCCGCCCCGAUCCCCGACCCCGAUUGUGUAUAUAUAAAAACAAUAAUAUGUUUACAUAUAUUAUACUAAAUAAAUAAUUAAAAAAAGAUUGUUUAUAUAAUAUUAUUAAAAUUAAAAAAUAAUCUUUAUUUUUAUUGGUUGAUUAUAAUUAUAUUUGUAAUAUAAUAUAUUUUGUAAUCUUAAAAUUAUCUUUUAUUUAUAUUAUAAAUCAAUUUUAAUAUGAUUUGAUGUUGAAAAUAUGAGAUAAUAUCAUUUUAUUAGUAUAUUAGGAGUUAGUAUUUUGUUUUCUUUAUUAAAAAGUAUAUUAUAUAACAUAAAGUCAUUAUUUUUUUAUUAAAAAAAAUUAAAUUUCCCGAAUCCCCGCGGGGAUCUCCGUUUCCCGUUCGAGGCGGGGAUCAGGGAGGAAAAAAAUCCCCGUUCGGGGUUCGGGGCGGGGUCGGGGGUGGGGUUGGAAUUUGGGGAUCGGGGGCGGGGAUAGCACUCCCCGACCCCGAAGUGCCCCCGCGCUCAUCCCUAGAUGAGUCGCCGGUGAGAUGAGUGGGUCAAGUGAGAUAUUUUAACGUAAUGAAUGGCCAAUUUGAUAUAAAAACCCGUUGUUUACACAGUAUUACAAAAAUAAAAGUCAUUGCAAGUAAGAGUUGUUAUGGACCGCUAUCCCAUGGAUUUAAAUUGAUAUUCUUACGAACAACCAAUCCAAAGAAAUUGGAGGAUAGAGUCACUAAUAUACCCCUGCAUGGAUUUGAGUUCAUACAACCCGGCAUGAUUAAUGUUCGUAUUCAUGAUAAGGAUAUAUUCUGAGGUAUUUUUUUUAUACAAAAUAUUAUUAAUAUUAAUUACAUGUAGAAAUUUAUUUUUAUUUUUUCGCUCAUGAAUUAUAAUCCAAUUUUAUAAUUUUAUGUAAUAAUAUUGGUAUUGCAUCGAGAUGUUUAUAAUACAAAAUUUAUUUUAUUCUACAAAUGUUAAUUUUGAAUCAUUAAUAUAAUUUGUAUAGGGCGCCGCAAAUUUACUUUUUUUUACAAAUAUUAAUUUUGAAUUAUUAAUAUAGUUUUUAAGACUGCCGCAACGAGUAGCUUUUCAACUAGUUAGACUGUAAUCACAAACAAACAUUGACCAGGAAUACACUUAAAUCUCCGGUACAAAAAGGGGAAACAAGAGGUCUCUAAACUCUAAGUUUUACACAGAAAACAUUAAUGCCCUUGACCAUAUAUUCUUGAAUAUCUUCAAGUAGACUUCCCCCUGCACAAUGUUAAAAUAUAAGGUAUAAGAUCCAUAAAAGAGUCUCUUCUAACACCUUAAGAUUUUAGAUGGAAUGGUUCUCUACAUGGUAUCAGAGCGAGGUUCGCGGGAGGUCUCGGGUUCGAGCCCUGCCACCCCCCAAUUUAUGCUCCAAAGAUGGGCGCCCAUAAUGGGAUUUCGAGUGAGGGGGAGUGUAGGUAUAAGAUCCAUAAAGGGGACCAAUAUACUCACUUUUUUUGCGAAGAAAAUGAAAUCAACUUCCUGAGUCUGGAGGAGUUAGGAGACUGUUUGGGAGAAUGUGCUGCCCCGUCUCCAUUUGCCUUAAAUAGUUUCGGAGAAUGUACUGCCCCGUCUCCAUUAAUCUUGAAUAAUUUUUCCCUCACGAUCUUCUCGUAAAUAAAAGCAGCUCCUCUGAACUGUGGUAAUACCAACCAUGCCGCGAAUACUAAUUUUAUGUCAUACCAGAUUGGAAUCCUGCAGUAUCAUAACCAAACAAACAUUGUAUAUUUAGAUUCUAAAUUUUUGUCUAGAAGUCCUAAUUUUUUUUUCAAAUUUCAUUUGGUUGCAAAGAGUUCAAUUGAUCUGUAUACCAUUCUAAGAGAGGUUGUAAAAGCAUUUCGAGUAGAGUGAGGAAGGAAUAAAGGAUCCAAUAAGCAAGCCACUGCUGAUCAUCCAGCUUUGAGGUGGUCUCCAUUGCUAUCACCGACGCAUAUCUGUUAAUUCAUCAACAAAAAACCGUUGAUCAUGAAUGGUGAAAUAUAGCAUAAGAUCCAAUUAGAAUCUUGCUCUAACACCUUAAGGUCAAAUUAAGGUAUUAGAUGGACUGAUUCUCAAUAUAAUAUCAGAAAAUCACGGAAAAAGAAGGUACUCAUGGUCAUGAACACUCACAGUGGAUACAUCAACAUGGUGGCCGGCCUGCAAGUAGGCAACAAUAUGAAUUUUAGCACAAGCAGUAAAAUAAAGUAAAGGUUGCGUUUGAAAAUAUAUAUUCCAUUUCAAAAUUUGGAUUUUAAAUGAAAUGAUUUAACGUGUCAUAUCAAAUUAUCAGAUUUAUACUAAUAUUCGAAUUUUCAGAUUUGAAAUAAAAUCCAAAUCCAACUUUUUUUUAAUCUAAAAAUUUCAGGAUUUCAAAUUAAAUCCAAAUUCUCAAACAAGAGAUGACUUCAAUCGGAAAAAUCAAAAUCAAAAGAGUGAUCGGAAAAUAAACAUACCCAGCCAGGGUGUGGGCAUGGCCGAGCAGAGUCCAUAGACGGCUCCCCAUUCUUCUAAUAUGUUACAAUUCAGCUUCUGAUAACAACAACAAUAAAAAAAACGCUGAUGUGCUUGGCAGUUUCAAUUUUCUGUUCGCAAACCUGAUCGCGGAUCAGAGAAGAAGUAGAAGUAGAAACCAAGAAAUGAAAGAUGUUAAAUGAUGUAACGUCGGGCCUGCAGGGAUUAUGAGGUGUUAUCAGUGACCAUGACGGAGAGUUGACGGACUUGGAGUUUGUACAGGUGUUAAGCAGAUUGAUUACGAAGAUUAGGAACCGAAAGUUGAUUAUUUAAUUAAUUGGUGAUUAAGAGCCGUGUUCAAUGUUAAUGUUACUCAUCAGUUUAUACGUUGGUUUAGAAAAACGUCCGCAUCGAGAUAGAGUAUUUUAUGGAGGAAUUUUGGUGACAAAUGACGAGCAAGAAUUGAGAGCAUACCGUGUGUCUCGGCUCUGUUUAUUAUAUUGGGACAUAACUAUUGUCAUCUCCUCAUUGUAUUGGGCUUUCUGGAAGAGAAGCCCAUUCUGGGUAUUUAAGAUUUGAAUAACUGGACUUCAAAAUAUUACAGUCCUUCUUCAUCUUCUGUUUCAUAUCGGACCUUGUGAUAUAAAAUUUCAACGAGCUGUCACGCUAAUUUGGCGUAUGGUCAAAAUAUAAGUUGUUUGGAAGUUGGCCAGGGGCGGAACCGGGGGGCCAGCUCCGGCGCCAGCCCCGGUUGAAAAAAAAAUAAUAAUUAAAAUUUUUUUAUUUUUUAUUUUUGAGCUCGGGGACAAAUUUAAAAAUAAUUAUAUAUAAAUUUUUUAGCUCUAAUUGAAAUUUGAAAUUUUAAAAAAAAAUUGAAAUUAGCUUAUCCUUUGGUUUACCGCCUCAUUGAGCUAGCCUUGAUUUUACCUGUCGCGACAGCUACUGUUGAAAGAGUGCUUUCUGCAAUGAAAAUACUUAAGACUUAUUUGCGUAACAGGAUGGGGAUGCGUGGUUGAACGAUGGCAUGGUGGUUUACAUCGAGAAGGCCAUAUUUAGACAUAGACGAUGAAGUUAUCUUGCAACGCUAUCAAAAUAUGCAGAAUCGUAGAAUUCAGUUGUCUUCCAUUCCUUCCUCCAAAAAAGGCGGUAAAGAUGUCACUGGUUAACCAAUUAAGGUAUGCAUAUUUACUUUUAUUUUUUUUGCUGAAAUUUUAAUGAUAGUUUAGCCGGGGUCAAUAUUAAUCCUGUUUCCGCCACUGAAGUUGGCAUGUAUUAAAAGUCUUUAUAAAAUAUAAUUUAUAAUUAUUUUUAAAUUUAAUUAUUUUUGAAUAAAAAAUUAAAUACUAAAUACUUAUUCAAAAAAUAAAAAAUAUUUAUGAAAUUGUAUUUUAUAAAAGUUUUAAAACGUGUGUCGGACAUUCCUUCUCAAAUAUAGACAAUUCAGGAGAACGAGAGAAUAUACAACCAACGUAAAAACACGUGCAAGUAUUUUUGUCACAAGAGUUUGUCUAUUAUGUGCCCAUGGGCACAUGCUAAGCACGUAACAUUUAUAAAAUUGGAUGGUUUUGAUUAGUGGGAUUGUUGUAACCGCAAGGGGUCCAUCAUUAUUAAAGAAGGUAAGCCAAUAAAACCAUCCAAAUUCAUAAAUUUUGGUGCUUAGUGUGUGCUCAUGGGCACACCAUAGAAAAAUCGUUGUCAUAAUUUUAUACUUCAAAAAGAAAAAUGAUGAUAUAGUAUAUUAUAUAUAUAUAUAUAUAUAUAUAUAUAUAUAUAUAUUCUAUAUGAUUUUAUUCUAAUAUUUAAUUAUAUUUUGCAUCGAUUUGGAUAUUUAGUUAAUAGAUUUUAGUGCUUUAUUGUAGAGUGCAAGGAAUUUCUAAAGUUGGAAAGAUUUGAAGGAAAAAACCUUAAUUAGACUCAAAUUUAGAUUAAAACUCGGAUCGGGCUACACGUACUAUAACGCUGUUUGGGUCAUAUCUAGAGUUCUAUACGUCACAAUUUAACGAUCUUACACCUCACGCGAAACUUGGAGAAUUUUUUUUUAAUUCAGAGAUGAUUCAAUAUCCAAAACCCAACUGAAACAUCCCAGUAACUUUGGAGAUAUAGUUAUAUAAGUUAUUUUAAAAUAUUUUAUUCUAGAUAAAAAUCUAAUAAAAAUAUUAUUAUUUAGUAACAAAUUUUUUAGAAAUAAAUUAUAAAAUUAUAUUUUUUAAUUUUUUUAACAUGUAUGUCCAGGAAUGAACAUAUCAGUACAAAAAUGGGUCGAACAAAGAGAGUAAGUAUUUUAAUUUCCACGGCUAAAAUUUGUUAGCAGAGCAGUGCCGGAACCGAGGGGGCUAGAGGAUUCUAGAGCCCCCCAAUCUCGAAAAAAUAGUGUAUAUUUUCUUUAUCCCCGUUAAAUUAGUGAUGUCAAUAUAACUUUUUUUAUCUUGGCAAUUACUAAUGAUUUGUCAGAAACUUUACAACAAAGAACUCAGAAUAUUAAAAAUGUUAUGACAAUGAUUCAAAGGAUGAAGGUUAUAUUGCAGCUAUUAAGGGAGAAAGAAUGGGAGAUAAUUUUUAGAAGAUGUGAAGAAAUUUUGUAAUGAUAAUUUGAUUGAAAUACCCAAUAUGAAAGAUAUAUUGGCUAUCCGACAUCGCUCAAGACGUGAGGGACAAGCUGUUAUUCACUUCCAUAUUUCGUGUUGAGAUCUUUUGCGAGAUUAGUUACUUGAUUAAUUAAGUAUUUCAUAUUAUGUUCACUGCUGUAAAACUUGUUUACUAACAAGAGGUUGUUGAUCUUAUUUCCGAAGAAAUGGAUAACCGUUUUACAUAAAGAAACACAGAUCUACUGCUUUGUAUUGACUCUUUGGAUCUUAGGAAUUCAUUUUCAAGUUUCAAUAACUCAAAACUUGUCCGCCUUACACAAUUUUAUCUAGAAGAUUUCUCUCUACUAGACCUGAAUUUAAUGUCAACUCAGUUAGACAAUUUAUCUAUGAUGUGAGAAUGGAUAAAAGAUUUAUAUGGACUUCAAAGUAUAUAUAGAAGAUCAUUCUGUCGUGAUGGUUAGGACACACAGACACACUGCUUAUCCUUUGAUUUAUCUUCUGGUUGAGUUAGCUCUGGUCGCCACUGCUAUUGUUUAGAGUGUUUUUUUACUAUGAAAACAAUCAAAAUUUAUCCGUGUAAUAGGACGGGAGAUACAUGAUUAAAUGAUAGUAUGAUGAUAUAUAUCGAGAAAGUUAUUUUUGCAAGUGUGAAUAACAAAAUAUUUUAGACCUCCUUAAAUCUUAGGGUUUUAUAUCAAACUGGCCACCCAUUUCGUCAAAAAAUCUCACUUGACCCACCCAAAAAAUUUCAGACUCAUUUAAGCCACUAUAAACCAAAUGUAUAUCAUUUUACCCACUUCAUCAUUCAUACCUUUUUACUUAAUUAUUUAUAAAAAAUUAACCGUUUAUUUUUUUACUACAAAACCACUUCGAGUACUUUCAUAAUAGUUCCUGGUAUUUAUUAAAAUAAUUUGGAAAUUUCUAAAGCAACAUAGCCAUGUAGUUAAAUAAAAUAUAUAGUUAUAAAUAUAGUUAUAUGAUCAUCCUAGCUAUGUUACUUUAGGAAUUCCCAAAUUAUUUUGAUAAAUACGAGGGACUAUUAUCAAAGUACUCGAAGUGGUUUUGCAGUAAAAAAACAAACGGUUGAUUUUUUUAUAAAUAUUUAAGUAAAGAGCUAUGAAUAUUGAUGAUAUAUAUUUUGUUUAUAGUGGCUUACAUAAGUCCGAAAUUUUUUGGGUGGGUCAGGUGAGAUUUUUUGAUAAAAUGGGUGGGCAGUUUGAUAUAAAACCCUUAAAUCUUAAGCCAUGUUCCGCCACUGAGCACGAGGUUGAAAAUUCUAAUUUCGGAUAAUUAACGCGUGAGAUGAAAAAUAUUAAGUUUACUGAACACCAAACAUUGUAGAAGACCAACAAUUUACCAUAAAACCAAUAACGGGCAACUAAAAGUCACAAGGUCCUCCAAAUCAGUUAUCAGUCAAAAAAAAUCUAAUAAAGACCCAUAGGCCAUAGUCAUUUGGAAGAAAAUAUUGACCUAUUAGUAAAAGAAAUAAGACCAGUAAUUACCCAUUUAUCAUGAUUACGAUAUUUCUCCCCAAACCUUAACCACUCUCCAUUAAUCUCCAGAUAUGCCAUCUAAUCUAUAAUUAAGAACCCACUAAACACCAAGCAAACAAAUAUCAAAAGCACCACAAAAUCAUCUCUAUUUUUUGCGUGUAGCUAAAGAUCAAAAUCUAGCCUCAUUUUCCCUCCCACCCAAAAUGUGGUUGAGCAACAAUUUCCAUUUUCUCUACUAAUCCAAUUAACAUUCACACGUUUUACUAGUCAUUUUUUUGGCUUUCAAUUAUUUCUAUCAACUAUCAGCUAAUAACCACCCUAUUCUUUUUCCUCCUUGACACUUAUAAAAUUUGACCAUUUUGUUGCAUUUUUACAAUGGCUUUGAUGAACAAUGCUGCUACAUUUUUGAGUCCAGAGCAUUUGUGUAAGCCGAAACAGAACAUUAUGGGCACGGCCAUGCAGGCUCUGAGGGCUAAUUCUUUUCCGAUUUUAAGCGAUUCGAUGGUUUCGAGCCGACGGCUUGUGGUGAAGGCCAGUGGAAGGACUUCUAAGGGCAUUGACAUGAUCAAUGGAAAAAAGGUUAAUGGAAUUUAUGUGAAUGGUGGAACUUCACAGCUGGGGCAAAAAAGAAUUAGUGAGAUUCUGAAAGGUGACGAGGAGGAGCCGGAGAUGACGUGUCUUCCAGGUGGCAGAUUUUUGGAAGGGCGAUUGGUUUUUAGACAGACAUUUGUUAUCAGGUCUUAUGAAAUUGGCCCUGACAAGACUGCUACCAUGGAGACUCUGAUGAAUUUGCUUCAGGUUGGUUUUCUUGAUUAAGUUUUCUGUAACUAACAUUUACUUCCUCCGUCCUAUUCAAUUCUAUACGUUUUUUUUCGCUGGACACGCAUUUUAAUGUUUCUAUAUUUUUAUAGUAGUUCUAUAACGCAUUUUAAUGUUUUUAUAAAAUAUAGUUUUAUAACUUAUUCUGAAGUCUGAACUAAUUUAAUGAAUGCAGGAGACGGCGCUUAAUCAUGUCAGGAGAUCAGGUCUUGCAGGGAAUGGAUUCGGAGCAACCCAUGAAAUGAGCCUAAGGAAACUUAUAUGGGUUGUGACUCGCAUUAACAUCCAAGUGGACAAAUACAGCUCCUGGUAAAUUAUACAACUUUCUCAGCAUUAGAAGAAGUUAAUCUGUAGCGGUCCUCUGUAAAUAAAAGAACAGAAAUCUGGCAUAAAUUAGGACAUUUAAAUUUGUUAAAACUAUUAGCUUAACUUAACAUUCUCCAAGCUAAUCAAUUGGUAACAGGGGAGAUGUUAUUGAGAUUGAUACAUGGGUUGAUGCGGCAGGAAAAAAUGGUAUGCGUCGAGACUGGAUCAUACGCGAUUUCAAGUCUCAAAACAUCAUUACCAGAGCUACAAGGUACUAGUAAUCAACAUUUCGAAUCACUUAUUUCAAUAAGAUUUUUACACUUACCAAUCUCUCCUUUGGCAUGCAGCACAUGGGUUAUAAUGAACAGAGAAACAAGGAAACUGAGUAAAAUUCCUGAAGAAGUCAAGCGAGAAGUUGAACCAUUUCAUCUGAACAGAGUUGCAAUUGCAACAGAAGAUAUCGAUUCUGAGAAGAUUGAAAAACUUAACAAUGAUAUUGCUGAUAGAAUUAGAUCUGGUCUAGCCGUAAGUACAAUUAACAGAUCACAUUUCAUGGUUUUUACCACAUACUUUAGUCUCCUCGCUGAUAUUUUUAUUUAAUCUGGCGUGUUUUUUCCCUCGUCUUUUUCCAGCCAAGAUGGAGCGACAUGGAUGCUAAUCAACACGUAAAUAAUGUCAAAUACAUUGGAUGGAUCCUCGAGGUAUAUAAAUUUCAAUUACACGAAUAAAUGUGUCAUAAACUCACCUAUUUAGUCCACAGACCACAACUGAUUCAAAGUAACCUGUUAAGUGACCAAUUCUCCCAAAACCUCGAAGUGUUGGGAGGUGGGCAUUACAGAUGUUGAGAACCGGUCCAUCUAAAACACUAAUGUUGUGUUUGGUUGGGGAGAAUGGAAUGGAAUGGAAUGGAAUGAGUAAAAAUACUUGAAACUAGUAGAGAUAGGAAGAAAGUUUUGAAAUUUUUUUGAGUGAGUGCAAAAUUGUUAUGAUGAGAUUUGAGAAAAAUUGAGGAUAGGAGAGAAUGGAGCAUUCCAUCUCAAAUUGGAGGUGUGAUAUCUAAUACCUGAUGUAAGGAAUUGAAUGGAGAAAGGAAUGAAAUUUCUUAACAAUUGUCCAUAAUAUAGUUCAUUUUUCAUUCCAUUCCUUCCGGAAUCAUUCACCCCAACCAAACACAACAUAAGGUGUUGGGAGGAGAGCUUACCAGGAUGAUAUUAUAUUUUAACAAAUCCUAAUGUUGAUACAUGCAAAAAUGAUUGAAUUGCAGAGUGUGCCAAUGCACGUGCUAGAAGAUUACGAUCUGAGCAGCUUGACACUGGAGUACAGGCGAGAAUGCAGGCAAUCCAACAUGCUCGACUCCUUGACAAGUAUGAAAACACUGUCUUCCGACCAGAAUAAUUCAAACACUCUUCAAACUAACUGUAGUACAAGUAGUGAACAUAAUGGAACUUUAGAAAAAUUACAAUGCACGCACUUGCUUCGUAUGGAAACCGAUCAUGCAGAGAUUGUCCGCGCAAGAUCCACAUGGCAACCAAAAUUGUAUCCCUCGAUGUAGGAAAUCUGAUCAGUUUCGUUCAUGUUGGCCUUUUUGUUUGGUUUUCUGCGGAAUAUCUGUACUGAAUGUUGUAAUUUUCAUGUAAGACUGGGAUAAAUUGAUUGCUGAUUUAUUCAUAAAUUGUAAAAGAUCACAGAGUUGUGAGUGGUUCUACAUAUCAUAAUUUGAAUUUUCAGAAUGAAUAGAUUAGCAGAAGUUGUGACAUUUCAGCUCUCGCACUCCACAUGUAGGAAAUAACUUGCACCAGAGUAAAUUAUAUUCGAAAUUUUAUGAGAGACGACAAAAAAUAAGUCUUUAUCACUUCAAGUAGACGUUAAAACAGAUGUUCAAAUAUAUCAUUUCUGUUAUGAUCUAAGUGAUUGUUCAAAUAUAUCAUUUCUGUUAUGCACAUACUUCGAGAAUAGUUAAGUACUAAGUUAUACACUAAUUUCAAGCAUAUUUAAGUAUUAAUUAUGGUACACACGUACUCAGAGGACACCUAAGUAAUACUCCCUCUGUCCCAUUUUAACUGAUGUUUGACUUUUUAACACGUAUAUUGAGGUGUAAAAAAACAAUAUCUACACUCAAUAAAAAAUUUCAGUUCUUACAUCAAAUAAAAGUUUAGACUCUAAACUUUUAUUUGAUAUAAAUUUUAUAAAAAAUAAUCAUGUUUAGAUGUAAUUUUUUUAACAUCUUAAAAUACGUGUAAAAAAGUCAAAAGCAGUUAAAAUGGGACGGAGGGAGUAUUAAGUUAUGCGCAUAUUUCCAGAAUUAGAGACUAAGUCUUGCAUAUUUAUCAAGAUUUUACUUAAUGUUUAAGCUGUAAAUCAUCUCUAUAAAUAGAGGAGUUGUACUACAUAUCAAAAUGACAAUUUAAUAGAACAAUUCAUUUUCUAUGUUCUUUCUCUUGCUCUUUUCUCUAUAUAUUUUACUCUUUCACAUAUAUUAAUAGAUAAUUGAAGAUUUACAACACGAGACUCUGCCUAGGGGAGUGAGAUACCUAGGUAGGCUUCCAAAAUGGGCCUAUGGGGAACCGGAUCACACAUUAGGAGACAGAUAUCGGUAGGUGUCGAGCCCGAUAUAUGAAAAAUGAAAUUGUUAAAAUAUGUCCUACAUCGCUUGUGAAAGUGGCAGAAAGCUAGAAUUUAAGCCAACUAGAUAACUUCAUUAAUAUGAGGUCUUUUGAAAGAUGUCCAAAAAAAACACAGGCUCGGGCCAAAUUGGACAAUAUCAUACUAUCAUGGAGAUAGGCACGCUUGGCAGGCCCAACAGUUAUUACUUAAAUUAUUAAAUUAUAAAAAUUGAUAAUGGAAACCUUAUUUUAUUAUUAUAAAUUUACUAAUAAACUAAAAACUUCCAACAUUAUAAUAAAUUCACAAACUUAUCUUUACAACUUAUAUUAAUAAAAUCUUUGUGCAUCCAAAAUAUAUAAAAGAAAUAUGGUUACAUUUAUAGAAUCAUUCGGUUCCAGAUCACUACAGAUCAUAUUAUAUCUAUAUCAAUAAUAUAUCACUAUCUCGGAAAAUCUAAAUAUUAUCUAUAAGAUUAUAUAAAGGGUCGUGCGUCUAUGGUCAUAGCCAUUGUUCACUAUAUCUGGUUUUAAGAUAGUGUGUAAAAGGUAAUAUGAUCUGCUUCUUCCAACUGUAGCCGACUGAUGAUUAUGAAUUUUAGGCUAAUAUCAAAUUAUAUGUAUAACUAUUCUGUGACAUUCAUAUUGAAAAGAUUCGUGGAUCUAGGUAUUGUAUAAUCGUCUAUCUUCGAUUAAUUAAACAUCCUUAUUGUUGUAAUUGUUAUUUUAGUGGCAUAUAGGUGCAUUUCACUUUUAUUAACAAUAAAAAAAGUAGUUGUACUAAUUUAACAUGAUACUUAUUACUUGGAUUUUCAAAGCAUUGUAUAUGCAUUGAUUUGUAACAAUUGAUCUGCAUGAAAAUAAAACUAAAUAUCGGUUAACAUAUAUAGUUUUUUAAAGCGAGGAAUAUAUGGCUAAGAAGAUUGAAAGCUCCAAGAAAAAGAAACUGUCUGCACUUGUCGUGGAUUUUUCUAGCGUCUGCCGGAUGGUUCAUGUUGCAUGCCUUAGAAGGCAUGACUUUGAAACCUAUGCUGUUGAAAAUGGUAGGGAAGCAAUGGAUCUUAUCCGUUCUGGAGAACAUUUUGAUGUCAUUUUUAUGGUUGUAGAGAUGCCAGUUUUGAAUGGUAUUCAGGUUAGUCAAACACACACACACACACACACACAAGGAUUGUUGAAGUGUUAAAGAAUACAAAUAAUACUCAAAUAUUAUUUUCAUGAUAAUAAUGAUAUAUAAUUUCAUUUCAGGCUACUAGGGAAUUGCGUGGAAUGGGAGUGAAAACCAUGAUUGUUGGAAUAGAGUGUGAUUUAGGCUAUCUCGGUUAACAUCCUAUAAUUGCUGGCAUGGAUCGUAUUUAUGAGAAGCCCAUGACACAAGAGAUCGUCAUAUCUGUUCGUCAAGCGCUUCUAAACAACUACAAUAUUUAGACAUUUAUGAAUUCAAUAUGUAUCAAUGUUAUAAUAUUAUAAAUAAAGUCUUCAUCUAGUUCCUUAUAAUUCUAAUAUAUAUAAUUUUGUUUAUGAUAUUUUAAGUCAGUUGCAAAAUUCAUAUUAAAAUACCUAAAUAUUAUCACAUUAUGAAAUAUAGGAACUUAGGAAAUAUAAAUAUUAUAACCCAUUUGGUACUUGUAAGCUCUAAACAAGCCAGUGUUUUAUGAGUUCAAAUUGAAAAUUUUAUGAAGAUCAUGUUUUGAUACAAGAAAAGUAUUUACAUGACACUUAAAGUAUGUGUACAAACAAAAUGAAAAUGAUAAUAAAUGGUUAACUCGCAAACUCAUAACUAAGUAUUACUAAACCUCAAGGAAAGUCUAUACAUUCAAGAAAAUAGACAUCCACCUUAGUAGAGAAAUUGAUCAAGAAAUCCUUUACACAAGAUUGUAAGUUCAAAUAGGAGUUUGUAAAAUCAAUGAAAGAAAAAUAUUUAAAAGUUUCAAUCAUGGUGAAAAAGUUCCUUAUUGAAACCAUUUACAUGAUGUUUUUCUCCCGUAACCAAGACUUGAUCAAACAACUAGAUAACAAGUAUUUAAACUCAAUUAAAACUUGGCCUAUGUAGGACAAUUGACCUAAGAAUAAUUAAAGUGCACUAUCUCUUUACUCCACAAAAAUUAUUCUUUGUGAUUAAAAUUUCUUCUUGUCAUUCUAAUAUAUCUAUUUUCUAAUCGCAUCAUGAUCUGUCUUUGUUCCUGGUAAUUCCACUACGAAAUCUGGAAUUAUAUUGGCAAGGCUGUCUAGUCCCCAUAUUACUUGUUAGGUCCCAAUAUAAGGGUUAAUUAAGCUAGAAGAAGGUUGAAUAGCUUAAUUACCAGAUUUAAAAAUUAAUAUAGUAUAAUAAAAUGUUUAUCCCCUUUUUGAAACAUGUAUCGAGAGUCUAAGCUAUUAAUAUGUGCGAAAGUAAAGGAGCAAAGAAAGAAAAAAAAUCUCAUGAGAGAAUUUAUUCUGGUUCGCGAUGGCGCAACCCCUAACCGACUCGCUCACCCCUACUUCUAGUCCCCGAGUUCUUCCCCGGACUCGAGUUUUUCAAUAUUAGAAGAAAUGUACUCCUUAUAGCAUGUGGAGAAGCCUUUACAAAUUUAACUCUUGACAAGUACAUCCUCGUUACUACCUCACUAUAAAUGUAAACUACUAAACUUACAAGACUCGUGUUGGAACUUAACCCCCCGUUACUUCCUCAAAGUCGUUGUAUCUCCAGGUGUAGCCUUUGAACUUCUAAACUUUUGUGGGUCGUGGAUCUUAGGUCUUGGGUCUUUCAUCUUCCUCAUAGUUCAAAAGACGACUAACUCCCCAUCAGCUCGUCUAGGACUUGGGUCUUAAAACGAAGAUCACCUCACUUCACUUCACCUUACAACAAAUUUUAGAAAAUAAUAUAUACGACAAAUAAUUUUGUAUUUAAAAAUGUUUUGACUAGAUAUGUCUAGGCCGAGAGUGAUGAUAAUAUUCAAUAAAAAAUAUAUAACUUGUAUACUUUUCGAAUGAUAAACAAUAAAUUGAAGUAUACUUCAUAGUUUACUCCAAGCUAAAGAUAAUAUAUAUGUGGAGUAAGGUGAGUAUUAUUUCUUUGAUAUAUAUAUGAUCUUAAAUAAUCAAAGAAUACUUGUAUUCAAAAACUCUGUUUAGAUCAAAUAAAUAAUAUUCAGAGUUUUAAGUCUUUUUAGGCUUGAUGGAACAAGACUUAUAUUAUUACUUCGAUAUAUGAAAAUACGUCUAUUUUCGAAGUAAUAAAAUUAAAAGGUCCUUGUUUAAACUUUGUAGCUAACGGCUUCUUUUUGAUAUAACUCUUCUCUUUAUAUAGUCUUUUAAGAAAAGGUUAAAUCAAUGACUGUGAGGCCUUAAACCACUAUUGAAGGGAGGAUGAAUAUAGCGGAUACAAUCAAAUUCGAAUUAAGAAGACAAUGUAAAUCCUCGAAUAAGCUUUUAUUGAAUUUAUAAUACAUAAUUUAAAAUUGUUCAGUGGAAUACAACUACUCUCUCAAAGAUGUUUGUUUAUCACUAAGAGCUGCGAGGUUACAAGAGAAUAAUAUUCUUAAUAUGAAAAGUGACAUGUAUAGUGUAAACCUAUGUUGUAUUUAUAUAGCACACAGUUACAAGAUAUCUUCUGAUUGAUAUGAUAUUAAUCUUAUUCCUGAAAGGUAUCAAUCAGAGAAUUCUAUACUAAUCUUCUUGAAGUCCUGAGCUGUCGAAUCUUCAUAGAGUAUAUCUUCUUUAUUUAGUCCAGAUCUACUCCUGAAAAUCAGCCGCUACAAACUCUGAAGAAAAUCUACCUUGAGUAAACUCUGAUAUCUUCUUUGUCUCAGCAAACUCUAAUUUCCUGUUAAACUCUGAUAUGUAGGUCUUGUACUAAAUAAAUAGUUAAGUCUGAUAUCAUCAAAUAUAUUUAACAAUCUCCCCCAAUUUUUGUAUAAUUAAAAAUGUACAAGUUCUAUUUGAUGAUGUCAAAAACAUUAAGUAAAUGCAUCUAUUGAAUUUAACAAUACAUUAAAUUGCAACUUACAAUACUUCAGCUACUGAAAAAAUUUACUCAGUCAGAUUGUACCCAUGGUGAUUUCUCACAUAAUCUGAGAUCAAAUUGUUCUCAGCAGCCUUCAGAGUUUGAAACAUUUAGGCUUUGAUGAAUCUCAGCUCUGGAUCAUCUUCAUCAGUCUGAUAAAUGGAAGCUCUUAAAGCUUUUAUCUUGUUUCUGCCCAUUCCAUCCCUCAACCUUAUGAUUCCAGGCCUUGUAGAUUCUACAUUGUAUACCAGUACAUGUCCUUUAAAAAUGAACUCCAGCUUUGAGCUUCACUAAUUCAUCCCCACAACUUGACCAUCUUCUGAUAUAUACUUAGGGAUGCACACACCAUCAAAUUUUACUCUACAUGAACUUUUCUUGUCUAUCACAGUCUGUUUGAUAAACUCUGGCUAUCUUUGAGUUGCUUCAUUCUUCACCUCCAGAAGGUAUAGUGUCCUCUUCAUCAGAGUUUGAUAUUCUAGCCACGAAUCUUCUCCUUUUCUUGGGAGGAGAUUUGGGAAUUUUUGCUGUUUCUCCACCUUGUUUUUCCAUAGAGGGUGGCUCAACUGUGUGUGAGGGAUUGAAUGGUGAAGAAACCCUUGGGUCUGAUGUCACGGAGGGACCAUCAGACUUAAGUUGUUUCUUUACUUUUACAAAUAAUGCCUUUUGAGAGGCAUUAGAGGAUUGUUUGGUGUUUGAGAUGGGUUUGAAGAUGUGGUGAUGUGGAUGGACAGUAGAGGAUGAUAGUGAGGGUCCAUAGACAUUGGGGAAGACCUUUUUUAGAGUUUGUCUGACAGGGUUUGGAAUUUGCAGAAAUCUCAAAAACUGUUUCUUUUUAUUCUUGGAUCAGAGGAUGAGAAAUGUCAUUAAACUCUUAAUAGUGAGUCAGAUAAGAAGAAAAAUGCUUAAACACUNUCUGCUGUAGAGUCAACUAUGAUAAGAAAUCACUUGAAGUAUGUGUCUUUCAAUUUUAUUCAUUUCAAAUUUAUAUCUUUUUAGGCAGGAAGCUUUUCAGGGUAAGUGAGUCACAACCACCAUCAGAGCAUAUUAUUCUUUUAUUAAGUCAAGUAAUUCUCCAGUUUUCAGAGAUUGUAAAAAGUCACCAAGAAAUAUGAUUUCUGGUGCAAAUAUGCUUAAUACCAGCAAAACAUUUCGGUCUUUAUUUUCACAAGACACUUUGUCAUCUUAGAUUUCAAAGGAGUACUUGAUUUUUAAUUUCUAUUUUGGCAAAAAGGCAUAUGUAUCUUUGAGAAACCAAAUUUAAAAAAUACUAACUCUAAGCUCACAGAGGGAAUAAUCAAAUGUCUAUCACUAACUGUCUAAUUUAAUGUUAAGAUUCAAGAAGUAAGCCAGUCUAAGUUGCAGGUUAAAAAUCAUGUUUGUGAAUAAGAAUUCCACACAAGUAAUUUUUAUGCAUAGAGGUCAUGACUACUGAACAAGAAAUUUGCAAAAUUAUCCACACUGGAUUUCUAAUUCAAAGUAAGUCUUUAUCACUUCAAGGAAACUUUAAAACAUAUUACUUUGUUCAAAUAUAUCAUUUCAACUACUUUUUCAUUAUUCUAAAAUUAAUCAUCGAUUAAUCCAUAUUUUGUAGCUUAUUAAAUUGGUCAAAUCUCCGAUUAUUUAAUUAAUAAUCGAUUAAUCUCCGAUCAACCUAAUUAAUUUCUAAUUAGUUAUUCUUUCAUGUCUUCACUCUUCACAGUUAAGUCUGAUUCCUACUUUCUUCUUAUGUUGAUACUUAAUAUGCAUAACAUAUCAAUUUGAUUUUUUAAGCAAGAGUCGAUAUACAUAUAUAAAUGAGAAACGAUAUGUAGGUGGUUCCUUUUAGAUAAGUCUUUUUCAUUUUUAUAAUUUUAUGAAAUUUUUGAAUUAAAAGUAUAAAAAAUAUAAGUUACUUUUUUUAGUCUUGAAUAUAUUCAAAUAAAGUUUGAAAACUAUUUCUUUUCAGUAUUGAAAGAAAGUUUCAAAACUAUCUUUUAUCAGUUUUAAAAUUAUUAAAAAGCAAUUUCAAAUUGUAGAAUUGGUACCCUUAAAAAGACACGUUGAAUCCGAGGUUCCAAACUACAUGCAGCAGUGUAAGGCCCAAAUGCAUCUAGCAAAUGAUAGGCCCAAAUGAAAAAUUUGUGCUCUGGGGCAUUAGUUAUGGAAGAACGUUCUCAAGUAAGCCCAACCUUAACUUUGCAUUAGUCGUUAGUACCAACCAUUCAAGAAUCAAGAAACCAUCGGCCACAGCUAAAAAUGUGUGCUACCAGUUGGGCCUCCACGAGAUGGGCCAAGAAGGAACCCAAGUAAAUUAAUUUUUAAAUUGAAAAAUGUUUCAAGAUAAAAAAACUCAGGUCUCUACCAUGUAAAAUUUAUGAACUUUGGAAUAUGAGAUUUCGUAGCAUUUUUUCACUAAAAAAAAAUAGAUAAAACUUAUCUAAUAAAUAUAAAAACAGCUUUUUCUUACUGACAUUUUUUUUUAGAGAAAAACGUUUGUUUACAUAAUUAUAUUUGGAUUUUUUAGGGAAAAACAUUUGUUUACAUAAUUAUAUUUGGGUUUGUUUAGUAUGUGCAUAUAAUCACAUGCUAAAGUUUAUAUGUUUGAGGGAUUUUGAUUGGUGUGGUGGUUGCAUAUGUAGUGGGUUCAUCAUUAUCAAUUAUAAUAUGAGACUCAAUUAAAAAUGAAUCAAAUUUAUAAAAAUUUCGUGUUUAGCAUAUACAUAUAAGCACACAUCGUAAAAACCGUAUAUUUUCUUCCAUCACGUCCCACUCGCGAGUGAAACAUGAAGAGGUUGAGAAAACAUGUGAGCAAAAAGUGAUGAGAGAAAAUGAAAUGAUUGAGAAUUACCAUCGCAAUAAUUAAGACAUUGGAUCUUGCAGCUACAAAUAAAUUUACUUUUCCGCAUUGUCAGUACUCAUGUUUUAUUCCGUUCCAAUUGAUAUGAUUUUUAAAGUCGCUUAAUGUCAAAAUGGUUCAGAUAAUACUGUUUUAAUUUCUGAUUUUUCUUACCUUUUAUUUUUUGAUGGUACCUGCGUAAACAGAAACGGACCCAUCAUGUUUUUCACUCAUAUUUCACUUCCUGUUUAUCUAAUUUAAUUUUUUAUAUAUAAUGAAUUAUAAUAAUCGACUAUAACUAUAAUUUAUAAUCUUCUGCGAUAUCAAUUUUGAUAUUUUCAUCAGCUAAUUGUUUUAGCUCAAAUUAAUCUGAACCGUGAUAUAUAAUAAUAAGAAAAGUUGAUAUAAAUGUGAAGGAAUCACCAUCCCAAAAAAUAAUAUACUAAAUCUUAUUUUUGCCCGCAAGGGUUGGUUCUGGUUAAAGGAGGAGACUUGUAUCUUUUUUGUCACAGGUUCGACUCCCGAAGGGAGCAGAAUUUAAACGGUUUAAUUCACAUAAUUUGCAGGCGGCUGCGGGUUCCUACUUGAAAAAAAAUAAUUAAUUUUAGUACUUUCAUUUUCUACAACAUAAAACCGCAAAGAUACUUCCUUUGUGUCACAUCUAUGAUUCACAAUCCAAUUUGCAAAUUUCAUUCAAUCAUAUUAGUAAUUGAAUUAUUAUAAAAACGUCAUUAUAUGAAUUUAUAAUAAUGCUAAUUAAACAAGGCCGAAGGGAGUCGAUUUGCACGCCUGUUUCAAGAGUGUUGGUGAAAGGAAAGCAAAAUAAGUUGGUACAUUGUAGCUUUGCCAUGUUUAGAUAGGCAGACAGAGAAGGACUAAAUGUAUGUUGCGGCGUUUUUUAUUAACACCUUCUGUAUUUUUAUUAUCUCCGGUUUAUAUGUCUUUUUAUUUCCGUGAUAGUGAUUUAUUUUGAUCGCACAAAUUAAUAUUUUGUUAGUAAUAUGUCGCACCAUAUUAGUCCAGGCACAUAUAUAGCUUGUUUUUAUAAUAACGUCGAAUUUAUACGCCAAAAUGGCCUGAUACUGAAUGUAAAGUUUGCGAUAUAUAGAAAUUUUUGGUCUGAGUAGGAGUCGGCUAAUUUACUUGAAAUCUCGUAGUAGUGAAUUUGUAUUUACUUAUAGUUGGAAAAUUAAUAUUCCGUAUAUAAUUGAAAUUUUUUUAAAAAAAUUGAUUCAUCAUACCCAUACAUAAAACCCACCUCCCUACCCCCACCUCCCUACUUGGAUAUGAAAAGUUCAUAUUUUAUCGGUUUGAGAUAUGAGUUUCAAAAUAAAAUCAAACACCAAAUAUGAGUUAGAAUGGAAAAAAAUCCAUAGUUAGAUACCUGAAAAUGUUGAACCAAACGAUUCCUUAAAAUGUAUUUAUUCAUAGACUCGGCAACAAUUUCGAAUCUUAUUGAUAUUCUUGCCAAUCAAUUUAGGUUCCGCAGGAAUAACGGAGAUAAAAUUCCUCAAGGACAAACGGGGAAAAAUGUCAUAUCAUCUGAAUGAGUCGAUGUACAAUAUUAGUCCAUGAAUAUACGAAAAUAUGUAAGAUAACAAAUGAAAUGGACAGAGCAAGCUGGCUUUUUAACUUAAUUAUUAGUACUAACAUUAUAUUCUGGGAGUGUGUACAUUGUUUUCAGGAUACAUGCAGCUUUUUACGUAUGCAUGGAGUACCUAAAAGCUUCAAUCUCUGCAGCUCCGGCCAACCCCCACUCUACAGGACUCCUCUAUUAAAUCUAUGCCCAAUUAUUACCAUCAGGUACACAAAAGCUACAAGAAAGAUGCUACUUGUUGAGUGAAAGUACACGCAUUAAUGGACUCGAGAAACACAGUAAAAAUUAAAUAUCCCCACUGUAGUUUAACAGAUGGUAUUGAGAUGAUUUUCACUUUAUGUCCGGUUGCAGAACAAGGGGAGGGCUAGCCCAUGCCCAGUUUCAACAUUUAUAAAGAUUUCAGAGUAAACUCCAAAGUCGUUGUCAUAGUUUACACCGAUUUUCAAAAAGUUGGCUAGAGUUUCAAAUUCUGGCCGAACUUUGACUCCGUUUUUUAACGGGAGUAACGGACAGAGGGUAAAAAUGAGUUCUAAAUUCUCACAAAGGUGGCCAAACUUUGGCUCUGUUUUUAAAAAAAUGUGGCUUCCGUUAAGUGACGUUUAACGGUAGCCACACUUUUGAAAAGCAGAGCCAAAAUUUGGCCACUUUUUUGAGAAUUUGAAAUUCUGGCCAAAAUUUUGAAAAUCGGUGUAAAUUUCGGCUACAACUCUGAAGUUUACUCAAGAUUUUAUAAUAGUUCCGCCUUUUUCGAUGUCAAGAUGUAACUCACGAGACUCUCCCGUAUUCAGAACAUCUACACAAAGGGGGCGUUUGUUUACGGUUUAAAAGCCGGGCUUCUGAUUUAUAAGUUAGAAUCACUUAUUUAUACCGUUUGUGUAAAAAGUCAAGAAGUACUUAUAAAAAACUAGGAAUGCUAGCUUUUAUUUCAGGGCUUCUGCUUAUUUCUCAAACACUUUAAUCACUUAUAAGUCUUAACUUGCUUCUAAUUUCUACUCCAUUUUUUUAUUUUAAGCAAGAAACUCUUAUUUUAAACUCACCCAAACCGCCCAAAAAUGAGACUACCGUGUUCAUAGAUAAAUGACUUGAUAAAACAAAUUUGAGUCCGGACUAAUCUCAAAUAAUCAUUUUCGAUUUUAGCUACAACUAAUUUUGAUUCCUCGUCCUGCCACCACAUCUGCAUGAUUUGAUGAAUGACAAUUGACAAGGCAACCAAUACGGUAGUGAACACUGGAUAUAAACCAGCGAAUUUGCUAGCUAACCCACAGCCAAUAUUUUAAAGGGGUGCAUGUAAUUUUGGAUCGUACUCAUCAACAAAAUCUCAUCAACAAUUCCACGUAGCACCCAUUCAGUCCAACUUUAUAUCAUCUUGUUUAUCCUCUAUUAGUUAUUGUUUAGGAAAAGAUCUAAAUGCAUUUUGGGUAUUUAAUUGUCGUUGCUGUAUAUAGUACUAUUGUAGUUGGUGUUCCUAUGUGCACAAACUUACUUUAAAUCAUCUAUCCUUUAUAUACACGUAUGUGCUUGUGUAAGGGCAAAUUGAUUAGAAGAGAUGAGACUACCUCUACCAGUUCUGUGUACUAGAGAAAAAUGUGUAAAUGCAGUAUUACAGAUUUUUAAAGUUGUCCUGAGGGGAUACUUUAUUUUGGAUUUCGUCUAGUUCCCUAAUUUAAUAUAUAAAUAAGUUUCACACGCUGCAAAACAAAUAGAGGGCCGAUUUAACUUAUUCAGGACUAACAUUUAUAAUUGACAAAUAGAGGAAGUCGGUCGGUUUAAACUCAUUCUUGACCAACAAAUAAAAUCGGUCGGUUUAAACUCUCUCUUGAGUCUUGACCAACAAAUAGAGUCCGUCGGUUUAAACUAUUCUUCACCAUUAAAUAGUCCAUCAGUUUAAACCAUAAACUCAUUCCUAACCAACAAAUAGAAACAGUUGGUGACCGACAAAUAGAGACAAACUAUCCGAAUCAACAAAUAAAGAUAGUCAGUUUGAAUUCAUAUCCAACUUUGACCGACAAAUAGAGACAAACUAAUUCCGAAUCAACAAAGAUAGUCGGUUUAAAGUCAUUUCCAAUCAAAAAAUGAGACAAUCGGUUUAAACUAAUUUCAGAUAAAGAAAUAGAGGCCCUUCCGGAUUAAAAAUAGAAGUGAUCAGUUUACACUAAUUUCCAAUCACAUAGUCACAAUAAAAAGAUAGACUAAAAUCCAAAUAGAUAACAUUCCCGAGUAAAGAUCAAAUAGGCAAGAUAAACAUAUAGACUAGAAUCAAAUAAAUACUCUCGGGAAGUAAUAAAUAAACAGACUAAAACUGACCAUGUAAUGUGAUCGGCUUAAAACCCAUAAUGAAUGUGAUCUACCUUUAAACCCAAUUUUCAUCUACUAAAACCGACAACAUCUCAAGUCGGUCGGAAAUAAGCAUACAAGAACUCAAAGUUUUUGCACAUCAAAGAUUCAAAAACAUCGUAUCACUCUCAGAGGUGAGAUUACUUCUGUCAUACCAAAUCUUUGCAUCCUACAGUCAUACGAUUAAGCAAUUAACUGUUAUGCCACCACACCAAUGACAAGAUUUGCAUAAAAUUAUUGAGCUAAAGAGGAAUAAUUAUUGCUAAACUAAGGGAUAGCAUUGGACCCAAGCAUCUAGCUACAUCAUCUUCAAUUAACUAAAGGACCACCAUAUUUCCCUUUACAUAACACCACAAUAAGAAUCCAAUUUACAGAGAAGUGCAGUAAACAUGGCAAUCACUUUCUCAGGUACAUAUGAAACUAUUGCGCACUGUAAUUAACCCCCAGAUUCAGUUUCUGUUGCAUGUUUAAUACUUCAUUUACUGCACAACCAACAGUCAACAGAGACCCCCACUUGCAUCAUUAUCAACUGAUGCACUGUCGCAUCCAAAACCCGAAUAAACACACACAGAGAACCACACUCUCACACAUUCACAUAAAUACACAUAUAAAUAUGUUCAUUCACCUUAAAGAUAGCUACAUGUAAGAGUAAAACAAAACAAAAACAAAUAGUACAAGUACUUUUAUGAUAUUAUAUUACAUGUCCGUUUGCCCGUUUGACUUAUCUUAUAAAUAACUUAUAAGCUGAUAAACAUACGUAUUCUCAACGGUUUGCAGGGCCCACUUAAAAUCCGUUUUCGAGAUCCUAAUAUAGAAUCUUUAUAUAUACUCUAUCACACAUUUACGUAUGAAGGAUUCGAGAAUUUCGGACCCUUAUACGUCAGGAAUCCUAGGCGGAAGUCUUAGCAAGAGCCUAGAGUCACCCAGCUUAUAAGUUGGAGCCAAACAUGUAAUAUCCCUUGUGUUCAUACUCAAGCAAAACAAAAACUAGUACAAGUACUUUUAACGAUAUUAUAUAAGCCACAUUAUUUUGUUGUCUAAGUUUCCUAUUUAAUAACUAUUAAUUGUAGGUAAACCGAAUAAAAGGAACAAAGAGCUUAUGAAAUUCUACAGUUCUUUUGUAAAUUUAUACGACAAGGUCACAUGCAGAGCAUAACAAGAUACCAAAGAAACAAAAAGAGUUCAUGAUGAGCUAGCCAUGCCAUGGUCUUAUUAGUCCAUGAGUGCUCAAUCUCUCUCUUUAUUUACCAAAUUUACCCUCCACACUGUUUGAAAUUUACAUAACAGAGCAUGCAUUAGGGUUCUCAUCACUGAAUAUUUGUGGUGCUGGGGGGUAAGCAUACAUUUCAGUGGCCACCCUUGGAGGGUAAAUUUGGUAAUUCUGUGGAGGGUAGUAAUAGUAAAACUCAUUCUUCUUCAGCUCCAUUACCUCCAUUUUGGCCUCUUCUUUCUCUGCCGGUGGCGCAGUUUCCUCUGGCUUUGCCGCCUCUUUGUCCCCGCCUUCUUCCUUCUUCUCUUUUCCAUCUUCGGGUGCUUCUGGAGCUGCUGGUUCUCCGGCUUUCUUUCCGUCCUUGUCACCACCCUCAUCACCUUUUUUCUCUUCUUUAGCUUCCUCAUUUACCUUCACAUCUUCCUUCUUUUUCUCAGGCUCUUGCUUCACAACAAUUGCAUGCUUUCCGGUUUUUCUGUACACAUGUUCAACCAAUUUCAAGGGGUCGAAUACUCCUUUAACCGUCACUUGCGAGCCUUUGAGAUCCGGGUCUGCAUUCUCAACCCCUGUAAUUACCAAGUAUUAGUGCUUAUGCAAUAAUCACAAUAUGAAUUAAUACCAAAUUCUCUCAUACUUUUAAUGCUCUACAGAAUGAACAUGAUCUGCUCAAACAAUAUACGCUCAUUCAAGCGCAUUAGAUCUUAUUAUUUCUUCCCACAUCACAACACAUCGAGAUAUAUAGUUGAUCACACAACAUUAAGAAAUUCAAGCAAACACAGAUUACAAAACCAAAUUUAACUAAAGUUGAGAGGAGUCGUUAAACCGUGUAACUCGCCAUAAAUUUCAUCGCAAUCAAACUAAUUUAAUCAGACUACACUUCGAGAAAAAGAAAUCAUUAAAGUCGAACGGAAUCUCCACAAGUGCUUAUUCUAUUCCACAUUGAGAAUAUACAGAUUGUGAUCAACUCUUAAACAUGUGUGUGCAUAUACAUAUGGAAUCGUGCAACUUUUUUUAAAACUCAACUCCUAGAUUCAAUAAAAGCAAAUAAUAAUAAAUAAAUAAAUUUGCCCAUACAGCUAAAAGAAGAAGCAAGUGAUAACAUUAUAUAACAAAAAAGAAGAAUCAGAGAAAUGAUAAAGAAUGUGCAGGCAGAGAAAAAGAGAAAAGAUCUGAUUCAUCACCUUUCAUUCGCUCAAUUCGUUUCUUGAUCUCCUGAGCACAAGCCUCACAAUGCAUGUGGACUUUUAACACCACUGUGAUCACCGGAGGCUGCAAUCAAUUAAAUUAAUCAGACCCCACUUAGAUUCAAUUAGUCACUAAUUAAUCACAAUUAAAAUUUAAUAAUAAUAUUUUUUUAUUUAUUUUUUUAAUCAUCCUUGCCUCUUCUUUUUUCUCUGGGGGUUUGGGAAUUUCUUUCUCCUCGGGCUUUUUAGGCUCUGCCGGCGGUGGAGGGAUCGGAGAGAGCAGCUCCACUUGACGGUGGCUCUUGUUCUGAACCCUAGCCAGUACUUUAAGCGGAUCUGCCUUUUCUCCCUUCACCACAACCUUAUGAGUCUUGCAGUCAGUCUUCACAUCUUCAACACCUACACCGAAAAAAAAAAUCAAAAAAAAAAAAAUUCCAAUUAAUCAAAACAAAAAUAAAUUCAUUACAUGUCCUAUCGUUUUCAUAACUAAUUAGUACACCGUGACACAGAUGAGAUGUCGAGAAUUCAAAUCUUGUCACCGUACCGAAACAUACACACACAAUCAAAGUCAUUAAUUUAGUGAUUACCAUCAAAGCCCUUGAGACAUCUCCGGACUUUCUUAGCACACCCCUCACAAUGCAUGUAAACUCUAAGCACGAUUUCUUGGGGUGGCGGAGGUGGCGGUGGCUCCUUCGGUGCUUCCUCCGCUUUCUUCUCAUUCUCCUCCGCUUUCACCGGUUUCUCCUCCUCUUUCUUCUCACUUUCCUCCGUUUUCAUCGGUUUCUCCUCCUCUUUCUUCUCCUCUAGCUUCUUUCCUUCCUGCAAAACCAUUGACAAACACAAAAUCAAUGAAUAAAUAAUUAAAAAAAUUAAAUCUUUGAUUUGAUGAAAGAAAGAAGAGUUAUUAGACCUCCCCCAUUGAGAUGCAACAACAAGAAGAGAUAGGCUUGAGAUGGAGAAGAGAGCUUGAAUUUAUGUUUUAUGUGAUGGGUUCUUUGUAUGUAUAUGUAAUGCAGUAGAGAUAAUAAGAAUAGUGGAGAAUAGCUGCUUGUAUGUGGGCAGUAGCGGUAAAUAAAUUAAAAUAAUAAUAAAUGAGUACAGUAAUUAAGGACCCGAAUUGAUUGUCGAAUGCAGUUUGUAUCGGGAUAUAUAUGAUUUUUUAUUAUAAGAGAUACAAAUCCAAUCAAAAUUGCUUGAUUUUAAAUUCAGAACCGAUUGAGUUUUAGCUGAGUAACUGUUCGAGGAUCUUCUAAUUUAUUAAAAAAUCUCCAUUUCUCAUAAAUCAAAUUUCGAUUCCUAGUGCCUGUCUGGCAAUUGCAACUUCUAACUAUUUUAUUAGGAAGCCGAUUUUGAUUUUUCUUGACUCAUUUAUGUAAAAAACCAAAAUUUUAUCUCAAAAUUUCUACUCCCUCCGUCCCCCUCAAUUGUUUACAUUGGAGGGGGACACGGAGACCAAGACAAUGUAAAAAAAAUAGUAAAAUUAGAUGAAAAGUGGGUAAAGUGGUGGGACCUAUCAAUAUUUAAUAAUAGAUUUGAGAUAGUGGAGGAAAGUAGUGGGUGUAAUAGUAGCUUUUAUGGUUAAAUAUGAGAUAGUAGGAGAAGAUAGUGGAUGUAAUGAUGAGAAAAAUUUACUAUUUAUAGUAGUGUAAAGAAAUGAGAGGGACAUCCCAAAAUAGUAACUGUAAAGAAAUGAGAGAUACAGAGGGAGUAUUUCUUUGCUAAACAGUUUAAUCACUUGUAUUAAUUUAUUUUUAACUUCUAAUCUAAACUUUUACUCACUUUUUAUAAAUUUACCAAACAGUCCCUCAAUUUUAGCAUUAUCGACUAAAUAAAUAAAGUGAGACCAUUUAGAUCUGGAGCAGCACACACUUAUGAGUGUGACGUGGCGGAGCUUUGGUGGUGUCAGCGCCACGUGCAACCUCAAGUGUUCACCACUUUCGCAUACACAGCCAAAUCUACUCUACUUUCCACGGCCGUUUCAAGUUCCUGUGGGUUCUGUUGUUUUGGUCCAAGAGAUUACGUUAUUCCCCUUGUAACUAAUUUGACAAGAACAAUAUCAAUUCUUUUAUGUGACGGUUUCGAUUUUUCAGCCCCUUGACCACAGACUAUAACUUAUGAAAGAAAUUAUUUUAUUUCAUAUAAUAUAAUAGAAGAUAUAAAUAUACUCAUCUAAUUAUAUUUAAUAUUUCAUUUAUUUUAUACCGUUUCUUAAUUUACAUGCUCCUUUAAUGUUUUGUAUAAUUAUGGUGAUAUUUUGAAAUUCAAAUUAUGCGCAUACAAAUAAGAUUCUCGCUAUAAUCUUAAUCAAGUCUUUUGGGAAUGUAAAAUGAUGUAAAAGAAUGAGAUAUAAUUUACUAAUGAUCAAAUUAGAAUAUGUAUAUAUAUUUGAUCAUUGUUUGAUUUGAAAGACAUAUCUCACUUGUUUUAUACAUUUUCUUAUUUUACAUGUUUCCUUAUUGUUUUGUACACUUAUCAUGAUAUUUUGAAAUUCAAAUCAUGUACAUUCAAAUGUGAUUUUGCCAUAAUCUUAAUCAAAUCAUUUCGGAAUCUAAAAUGAUGCAAAUAAAUUAUAUAUAAUUUGUUAGUGAUUAAUUAGUAUAUGUUUAUUUAAAUAAAUUGUUUGACCAUUCUGUGUUCUAAAGGACGCGAUUAAGAAUUUAUUUAAAUCAUCAGUCAAAUAAAUAUAAUUUAAAUUUUAUAAAUAUAUAGAAAAUUGUUAAAAUAUAUUUAAGAAAUAUGUAAAUUUCGGAAUUGUAUAUAAAAAUAUAAUAAAUUAGAAUUAAUAUUUAAUAUGUAUAGAAUAAAAUGAUAAAAUAGAAAGAGUAUAUCUCUUAUUAUUCGUACGAGAACAUUUUAUUGUCAGUAUUAUUGUUUUACAGUAACAUGCUUGAUAAUAGUCAACAACAUUAAUAUCAUCAACGAUUUUUUCAAUAAAUACAAUAUUCUUGUCAACGGUGAAAACCUUGAUAAAAUGACGUAGCAGUAAGAGUUUACUCCUUAUUGUCUGUACGAGAAUAUUUAGUAAUAGUUUACCCCUUAUUGUCCGUACGAGAAUGUUUAGUCGUAUUCUUAUUGUACGGUAAUGUGCUUAAUAAUAUUAAUACCAUACACGACUUUUCAAAUAAAUACAAUUUUCUUGUUAGCGAAUAAGAACGUGAUAAGAUGACGUAACAGUAAGAGUUUAUAUGUUAUUGUCCGCACGAAAAAAUCUAUCGUAAGUACCAUUCGUAAUGUUCUUGAUAUCAGUUGUCAAGAUCAUGCGUGACUUUUUCAAUAAAUAUAAUUAUUUUGCAUGAUGACGAGCCUCUAUCUUGAGAAAACAAUUUAUGAAAUCAUUUAAAUUGCUCUUCCUUUCUUUUUCAAGAGAAAUUUUUUCUUUUGAAACAAAGAAGACUUCAUAGUAUUAUAAUUAUACUUACCUACUUCUCACUUAUAAUAAUUUUUUUAUUAUAAGUAAUGAGUCAAUUAUUGUAACUUUAUCUAAACAACUGCUAGAUAAAUUUAAGAGCGAGCAAUAAUCAAUAAAAAAACAUGAAACACUUUAGAUAAACCCUUCUCUAAUAAGUAAACUAAUUCUUGGAAACUCUUUUACUUAAUUAGUAUUCAACUUGCUAAAUAUAUAUUACUUCUUUCGUCCUCGUGAAUUGUAUUUAUGGAAGAAGAGGAACGCGACACGAACUUUAAUGCUACCUGAAAUAUAUUUCUUUAAUUUACUUUUAAUUUAGUCGGAAUAAAUUAUAAACCAGUGGAAUAGAAAAACUCGUAAACAAUAAUAUAGAGUUAUCAACAUAGAUUAUUAACACCCGCUCCUCUCAAUUAAGAUCCCCGCCUAAAUAAAAAUUAGAAUUUGCAGAUUUGAGAGUCGAUUUCCAAAUUCAAGUUUCAGCCGCCACUUAUCAGCUCUUCAAUUUUCAUCUCCUUCAUUGAUAAAGCAUCUUUGUUCUUCCAUCAUCUCUCAUAUUCACUAUUUUUUUUAAUAAAAUCAAUAUUUGAUCAUUUUAGGAUGAGUUCUUGUUUGGUACCUUGUUAUCAAAGUUUUGUCCUUUGUUUGGAUGAUGUUUUGUGUUUUGCUCUUUGCUUGCUUUGUUAUGGGUUUCGUUAAUUUUUUUAAGAAGGAUUUAUAUUUUAUUUUGGGUGAUCCGCAAAGCUGACAUCAAAUAUGGCACGGUGGUGAUUACCGCAAUAUCUCACCUUUCACGACCAAAAAUUAUUACUAUUUUGAGGUAGUUGUUACUCCAAUAUCAGUUUAUGUAACUGAUAAUUCUGAACAUUUGGCUACAUAUGAUACUUAUGUGAAGGUUAAUGACAAUGCUACUAUGUUUAUAACUGAUUUAAGUUGGGUUACCAGAGAUAUGAUUGUAAUACUUUUUACAUUGAAGAAUUCAAAUAUUUUAUCUGUUAAACGAAGAAAACAAAACGACUAUUUGUUUAGCUGGUUUUUUGUUUGAUGAUCAGAUUGUAAUUGACAGUUCGGGAUUUAUCGCAGCCGGUUUUCAGUAUUUGAAUGAAUUAUUCGUCUUUCGUAAAAAAAAACAUACUCCCUCCGUCCUAUUUUAGUUGUCAACCAAAUGUGACAACUAAAAUGGGACGGGGAGUAGGUUUUUAACACAAUUGUCAUAUUACCCUAGUGGCAGUGGGCCCACCUAGGCCCAUUUGUACGACGUAAAAAGGAACCGGGCUUCACGCUUCUGUUGAAGGCGUUUGAACAGUGAAUACCUGAACAUACGCAAGUCGGCGGCUUCAAAGACCGGAUGACAUGCAUACAUAAUGACCAGAUGAGGCGGCCGACGUGAUCAACCGUGCGUGCCACCAGCUUACUUAGAUUUCUAUAACGCAUGUGGAAGUCACGUACAUUCACUAUAAACUACAUUCACCAACCCACCUUAAUCUUUAGUUCAACGUUAAUUACAACCAACGUCAAAAUCUGAUUCAACAUCAAAAUCAUGGAAUACGAGGAAAAAGAAAAGACCAGGUACGUUGGUAACAACUGACAGCUAGAUUAAAUCAUCAGUUUGGUAGUAGUAUAUCAUUUACGGCUUACUUCCUAUCUGUAGUUUAAUUUAACAUCUGUUAAAAACAAUGAAAUUUAAAUUUAAAAAAAAAAUGCUUAAGUUUUUCACAAAUUUAAAGUUCAAAUCAAAUAUUUUAAUUUGACAAAUUUUUCUUGUUAGCGUUGAGAUAUCUAAAAUCACAAACAAAAUAAUUAAUUAAUGCCCGACAAUAAUAUCGGAGAAAAGAUAACAAAUAAUACUUAUAAUAUUUUCAUGAGACCAAUCAAAUAAAUUUUUUAUCAAAGUAACUAAGAGUAAGUUUGGUGCUUUCUUAAAAUAAAAACUAAAAAUGAGUUGCUUAAAGAGAUUUUGUUUCUUUUGAUAUAACUAGUUGAGAAGCCGCGCGUUGCAGCGUCCUAUAAAAAUUAUAUUAAUGAUUCAAUAUUAAUAUUUGUAGAAUAAAAUAAUUUUAUGGUUGUCUAUAAAAAAUAUAUUAAUGUUUCAAAGUUAAUAUUUGUAGGAUAAAAUAAAUUUAUAUUAUAAAAAUCUUGAUGUAAUACCAAUACUACCAUAUAAAAUUGCAAAAUUGGACUAUAAUUCAUGGUGAAAAAAUGAAAAUAAAUUUAUACACGUAAUUAACAAUUUAAAGCAUGACGAAUCUUAAUUUUAUUUGUUUUUUUUUUUGAAAAGUAAUCAUGUUCUUAAAUUGUCACCUUCCUCCAAUUUUUUUGGAUUACUUGUGCACAAAAACAUCUAACUUAAAUAUAACUACCCUCUCAAAAGUUGCUUGAACAUCUAACUUAAAUAUAACUACCCUCUCAAAAGUUGCUUGAACAUCUAACUUAAAUAUAACUACCCUCUCAAAAGUUGCUUGAACAUCUAACUUAAAUAUAACUACCCUCUCAAAAGUUGCUUGAACGGAGCAAACAGAUAAUGCAUGAAUAAUUCUUUCAUGUAUACAAAGUAAAUAAUAUAAGAAUUAACAACAACAAACAUGUCCGAUGAACAAAACAAAUAUUAUAAAAGAAUAACCAACAAACAUACAUCACUAAUAAUAAAUUUAUUGACAUCAACUAUCAAUAUCAUGUCAAGACUAUAUUCUUUUCCCAUGUUUGAAUUUGUCGACUCCAAUAUAACGGUCUAUAAUUACAUUUGCUUGCAACAAUCUUUAAUAUAUAAACAGCCUUCACUUAUCGUUGCAGAAAAACGACACCUCCAAGUUAGAAAUCGAGCAAGAGAAAGGUAUUUCUAAUUUUUGAUAUUUUUCAUCCAAAAAUUUCAGAAAAUUAGAAAAAUAGAACGGAGCGAUGUGAGAGGCACCACCUACACGCUCCUCGCUUCUCCUUUAAAAAUCGAGUAAGAGAACUACCACCUACACGCUCCUCGCUUCUCCUUUAAAAAUCGAGUAAGAGAACUAUCAGGUAGGUUUGUGAUAUUGAGAGGGGAGGUUGUGUUUAGAUGAUCCAAAACCCUACGAUCUAUACGGGUAUUUAUAGAUGCAGAGAGACUUGUUUGCUACUCUUUACAAUAAUUAAAUAAUCUGUACAAAAUCAUAUUAAAAUUUUCAAGCUACUAUAUUCCAUAAAUAAUUUGUCUUUCCCAUAAUUAAAUAAUCUGAAACAAAAUCAACAAAAUCAACAAAAUCAGAUUCUGAAACUUGCUUCUAAUAUAUCCGAAACUAAAAAAAGUAGUUCUAAUUUUUGAUAUUUUUCAUCCAAUAUUUCUAGAAAAUUAGAAAAUUAGAACGGAGCGAUGUGAGAGGCGCCACCUACACGCCACUCGCUUCUCCUUUAUAUAAGUAUAUUGAUUUAAAUUUAUGUUUGCUUUCGAUAUAUAUGUAAAGAAAAAUAUGUCCAAGAAUUUCAUUGUUUGUCCCCUUUUGGUCAUUUUUUGCCCGGGUGUAUUGAAUUGAGAUUUUAAAGUAUUUUUUUCAUUCGUGAAAUCCGAAGAUAUUCGAUUGAGAUUGUUAAAAUCUUGAGGUAUACAAUUGAGAUUUUAAAUUAUGUCACUAAAUCUGGUGGUAUUCGAUUGAGAUUGUUUAAAAUCCAUUAAAAUCUGAUGGUAUUCAAUUGUGAUUGUUUAAAAUUUAUUAAAUUCUAAAGGUAUUCAAAUGCUGAUUGAUUUUUUUGGAUUUCAUAAAAUAAUGGAUUUUGUGGGAUUCUUUAAUGUAUUUGUUUUAAUUUUAAUAUUUUUGUUCUACAAUAUUUGUCCAAGUAUUUUGUCCGAAAUUGGAUAAAAUAUAAUAUAUUUGUUUUAAUUUUAAUAUUUUUGUUCUACAAUAUUUGUAAACUUCCAAUAUUCUACAGUUACAACAUAAUUGUUGUAAUCAAAAGAUUAAACAAUUAUUUUUAUAAAUUGCCGGACACUGUUCUAAAUAUAGCCCAUAAGAAGAAUAAUGAUCUUAAUGUUUGUUAACGAUAAAAAAUGUUAAUGAUUAACUGAUAAUUAUGUUUAUGACUACUUACAAAUAAUAAAUUAGAUAAUUUUGGAUAAUUAAAGAUAUUUUUUACGAUUAAACUAAUUAAAAAGUUAUGAUGACUAGUGCUCCAGCUUAAAUGCGGACUUCAUAGAACCUAAUACAAACCAAAUUAGCCUACAAAAUAGAAAUCAACUCGUAACUAGUUUUUAAUCACUAUUUUAACUACACAAAUCACCAGUUUGUACAUCAGAGCAAGUCCAACAAUGUCCUUAUAUUUGUGCCUUAUUAUUAAACUAGUAAUUUAUUUGAAUUAGUAUCGGAGAGAAGUUAAGAAGUAAGAGGAGAGAGAUGCAUUGAAAUGGUGAGAAAUUAAUAUUUUAAAGAGAAAUUUAGUUUAGGUGCCUCAAUAAUGAGGCACUUGUUGGAUGUCCUAGUGGUUUAAGGCACCACUAGGACAUUGUUGGAGCACACAUUUCAUCCAAUGACCUUAUAUUUUAACUUGGGACAUCAAUUUAGGACAUUGUUGGACUUGCUCCCACAACCACUAUCUUAUAUAUAAUAUAUAUAUAUAUAUAUAUAUAUAUAUAUAUAUAAUAUUUGCAUCGGGUUUUUAUCGGGUUUCGGGUUCGGAUCGGGUUUAAAUCGGGUUUCGGGUUUCGGGUCGGGUCUCGGUUCGGAAUACCUGAGAUCCAGAUCCAGAUCCAAACUCUUUCGGGUCUAAAAAUAAGACCCAGAUCCAGAUCCAGAUCCAAAAAAAUCGGGUUCGGGUAGACCCAAUCGGGUCGGAACGGGUCGGGUAUCCAUCGGGUCGGGUAAAACUGCCAUCCCUACAAUCUAGUCUUUUUGGUUUUCAUAUCGCUCUUUUUUCUCCUUUAUGACUUAAUGAAGUAACUGGCCAUACAUUUGCAUACAUAAUAUGCUAAAUGCAAAUCAAUACNNNNNNNNNNNNNNNNNNNNNNNNNNNNNNNNNNNNNNNNNNNNNNNNNNNNNNNNNNNNNNNNNNNNNNNNNNNNNNNNNNNNNNNNNNNNNNNNNNNNNNNNNNNNNNNNNNNNNNNNNNNNNNNNNNNNNNNNNNNNNNNNNNNNNNNNNNNNNNNNNNNNNNNNNNNNNNNNNNNNNNNNNNNNNNNNNNNNNNNNNNNNNNNNNNNNNNNNNNNNNNNNNNNNNNNNNNNNNNNNNNNNNNNNNNNNNNNNNNNNNNNNNNNNNNNNNNNNNNNNNNNNNNNNNNNNNNNNNNNNNNNNNNNNNNNNNNAUAUAUAUAUAUAUAUAUAAGAAAUAUAAAUAUAUACAUAGAUAUAUAAUAUAUAUGAUCAUUAUCUUCAUUCAUUUGUGACUUGUCACCAUCGCCUACCAUCAUUAAUAGCCACCUCUCUUUGUCAUUAUAACUUACCACAAGUCCACAACUAGUAAUUAUUUAUCAUCAUAACACCCUUUCACUCAUCACUUACCGCUCCUAUAAUUACAAAUGAUUAUCAAUAAUCGAACACCAAUAAUUAACAUAAGUAGAUAUUAUUAAUUAUGAAAACUAAAAAUUGUUGAUUUUACUGUAUAAAACUGUGACGAACGCAAUAUAAACUAUUGAUUUCUAUAAUUGUAAAUAGUGAUCAUGGAAUUGAUUUUAAUAUGUAUUUGUAAAUUGAUAUGUAUGUGGUCACUAGUUUGUAUAUAUAUAAUUACAUAAAUACAAAUCAAUUAAAAAAAAAAGCCUCGCCCAUCUAGAGUCCGAGCUAAUCCAUCAUGAACGAACUUACUAAAGCCUUUCCAAAGCCGGGCAGGCUUUGGAAAAGCUCUGGACAGUCCUGAAAAUCAAAACUUGCCCCCACCAUGAUUUUCACCCGCUUACAUCUUAAUCCUACUAGGUAGGAUACUCAUGUCUGUAUCUAGACACAUCUCGGAGUCAUCAAUGCUUCUCAUUCUGCUUGUAUUGCUUUGUAUUUUUUUUUUAUUUUAUAUUUUAGUAAUUCGUAUUGAAAUAUGAAACACACAAACACAUAUAUAUAAAUUUAACAAAAUUAAUUUGUUUUGACUAAUUUUUAAUAUAGUUUUUAAGAUUUUUACUACUAACAUGUUCUUCUUUGUUAAGCCUAAAACUAUGCAUUGGUAUCUUCUAAUUAUAGGAGAGAAUAUCAAAGGCAUGGCAUGUUAUUACUGUAUUCAUGAUUUUUCUUUAUAUUUUGUUCGCUUUCAAGUUCAACUUUUGCAUGCAUCAUGAAUUCAAAAUCUUUAUAAUCUUAUGAUUCAUGCAUAUAAAAAUAAUAUAGAAUCAUGAGAGUGAGGGAGGGACUGGACCUAAAAGUCCUAUACUGUUGCCUGGUCGGUGUUAAUUCAUAAAGAUAAAGGUGAGAAUUGACUUGGACAUGACCAUUGAAAAAUAUAUGCAUGGCCGACACUUAUAUUUUUCAUGGCGUUUCCUUUUGCAUUGCAUUAACAGUGAAAAAAAAAGAGUCAAGAAGCCGUGAAGCUCAAAGAGUUUCACAUCCAUCAUCUCGAUAUCUUUUCUAUCCUCCUCGUCGACUUUAGGACAAUUAAUGUUAGAGUUAGAAUAUAAAUUAUUCAGGCAUUUGUGAUUUGCCACCUGUUUUUGAUGACUUGCGUGAGUUUGGAGGUUGGCAAAUCAGAUGAAAAGGUUGAUGAUUACUCGUACAUGGAACUGUAGUGAAUCAAAGCUUCAACUUCUGUUGUAGUUUACGAGUUCUGUUGAGAAUGGUGAACAAAUCACAAACCUGACACAGUCAUCCGUAUAUAAAAACAGCUGGACACGUGACAAUCUCUCCGAAUUAUUAUGUAUUCUCCCAGUUUACAUCCUAAUAGCUUUUCCUUAUCAUCAAUACCCAAGAUAGACCCGCCAGCUGAAACGAGGAUAUAUAGGGGUAUUUGGCUGGGCUUUUAAGUCCAGUUUUUGGUUUUAUAAGUGUAGAAGCACUUAUAAAAAGUUAGUAAUGUUAAUUUUUGUUUCACGACUUCUACUUAUUUCCCACACACUUUAAUCACUUAUAAGUAUUAACUUGUUUCUCAUUUCUACUUCACUUCUUUACUUUGAGCAAGAAACACUUAUUUUAAACUCAGCCAAACGGCCCAUAGUACUAAAAUUUAUCGGACACGUAAUGUUGUCGGAAAAAAAAUGAAAAUUAUCCCACACAUUUUUUUUCCGAUUUCAAUUCAUAUCAGCAGUGGAAACAGUUCCCUGUAUGAUUCGGAACAUCUUGUUUGAUGAUUAGAGAAGCCAAAUUCAUUGAUGCAUGGGUGGAUUUUAUAACAGGUGACACCACAGCCGGUGAUGGUGGUGGAUGCAACACACAGCACGAUACUAACAUUCACUGUAACAUUGACUCUCAAAUGUCAACAAACCUUACAAAUCAAAGAACUCAACGUUGAGAUAUAAUUUGCGUAUAUAAAUGAUAAGCUCUUCAUAUAAUUACUUUUGAUAUGCACUAUGUUGCACGGAGUCGGAUACGAAAACAGGGACAUGAAACUACUAUUUUAAAAUUGGGAUAAUUAAUUCAUAUGUCCUUUAACUUUGGUCCAUUUUUGGUUCGCGUCCUUGAACUAAGUUUGUCAAUAUGCGCAUCCUCAAAUUUUGUAAAUUUCCAAUUCAUGUCCCUCUGUCAGUUUUUGACUAACGGAAGUUAGUGAAUUAGGGUUUUGAAUUUAUGGGUUUUCGAUUCGAUGAUGAAUUGAUGAAAGUGAUGGUAUAUGAAUCUUCGGGAGGUCAAACCGAAGACAUUCAUGUAGGUUUCGAUGGCGGAGGAUUGCCAGAAUGGUGACAAUCUCUCCGGCGGCCGGAAAAUGGCCAUUGAUUCCGGCUACCAUUUUGGCAAUCCUCCGCCAUCGAAACCUACAUGAAUCUCUUCAGUUUGACCUCCCGAAACUUCCCAUGCCAUCAGUUUCAUCAAUCCAUCAACGAAUCAAAAACCCCCAAAUUUAAGAUAACGUCCGUUAGUUAAAAACUGACGGAGGGACCUGAGUUGAAAAUUUACAAAGUUUAAGGAUGCGCAUGUUGACAAACUUAGUUCAAGGACGCGAACCAAAAAUGGGCCAAAGUUCAAGGACCUAUAAAUUAAUUAUCCCUUUUAAAAUUAUAGGUAUGGUUACAACAUUUAAUAAAUUAAUGUAAUUUUUUAUAUAUGUGAAACAUAGAUAAUAAUUUUACAUCUUUUUGACCAAAUUCUUAUUCUUUUUCUCCCACUCUUCGUCAAUCUUUGCCAUUUCAAGCUUAUCUUCUCUAGCGAUUUUUUUACAAACAGCAACUCCUAUAUUUUUAAUUUGAAGUAUAUGUGUCCUCACUCUUAAAUAGCUUCUAAAUUGAAUUUCACCACAAAAAUGGCACUAGUAAUUCCAGGUCUCUCCGGUUUUUUCUUCUUUUUAAAAUUAUAGGUAUGGUUUCUUCUUCUUUUUCUCUAGUUCCUAUAAAAAAGGUUGAUUUUCGGACUUCCGAUCAUUGGCGAUAACCGUAGCAUUUCCACUUCCACUACCAGAACUCGUACCACUGCUUUCAUAUUCAUACUCCAUUGAUAAUGUGAGAGGGAGAUAGAGAUACGAGAGUGGGUUUCUGUAUGUUUAUACAGUAUUAAAAAAAUAAAGGUUGUUGCAAGCAAAGAUAGUUAUAUACCGCUAUCGCGUGGAUUUAAGUUGUUCCAAGCAAAGGUAGUUAUAUAUCGCUAUCGCGUGGAUUUAAAUUGAUGUUCUGCGGACAAUUAAUCCAAAAAUUGGAGGAAGGAGUCAAUAAUAUACCCCUACAUGGAUUUGAGUUCACGCGUCUCACGCGCAUGAUUAAUGUUCGUAUUAAUGACAAGGAUAUAUGCUCAGGUAUUUUUUUUCCAUACAAAAUAUUAUUAAUAUAAAUCUAUAUAGUAUAUGUGUGUGUAUAUACUUACAAUAUCUUAAACUCCAUGUUAUAUAUAUAAUAUUAUUUUUUAUCUCUAUUUAUAUUUAUAUAGAUGUUGUCGGUUGCUUGACAUACGUAAGGGGCAUUGACAUAGGUGGGUGGUAUCAAAAUUAUCAGUGGCGGGUAAAAUAAUAGAGAUCUAAGAAUCGUGAAAGAUAAGUUAGUUAAUGAAAAAUUGCUUUAAAUCGUUAAUUAUGUGUAGAAAUUUAUUUUUAUUUUUUCACUCAUGAAUUAUAGUCUAACUUACAAUUUUAUAUAUUAAUAUUAGUAUUGCGUCGAGAUUUUAAUAAUAUAAAAUUAAUUUUAUUCUACAAAUAUUAAUUUUAUAUUAUUAAUAUUAAUUUUUAUAAGUCGUCGCAAAGCGCGACUUGUGAACUAUUUUAUUAUAACGUAAGUUGGUAAUGAAUCUACGUUUCGUUCACUUUUUUAAACCUUUUCUAUAGUUGAGGACAAAAAAAAUCAAGUGUUUCAUUAUUAUGUUCUUUUAAUGGAAAUAGGAUUACAAUAUCAAACGUCAAGUCUAGACUCUAGAGAAUAAAUAUCGUACACCUUUACUUCGAGGUGAUUGUUCGUUUUGUAGAACGUAUUGGGCUUUAAUUAUGGGCCUCAUGUUCACACACUUGAUAAAAUUGCUGGGUUACCCAAUGAUAGAUUACAAGUACAAUGGUCAUUAUGUUGGCCCUGUUCCACUUUUAUGUAGUUUGUGUAGUUUAGCUUGUCUCGGUUAAGUUAGCUGGGGAAUAUUUGGUAACAUUCUGGACUUGUGGUAGACAUAUUUUUCGAUUUUAUGGGAGAAUAAGCAUCAUUUUAAUGCUAUGUUUUAAUGCAAGGAGCCAAGGAGUAUAUAUAAUUAAAAAAAAGUGGAUAUAUAUUACAUAUCUUUGUAUUUAUAAUAUAACAAUACUAUUUCUUUCAAAAAAAACAAUACUAUUAAAUCUGUAAUUUAAUUAAGUUAUUUUAGAUUGAGUUGUUAUAUAUGCCUCGUAUCAUUAAUUUGACUUAAUUUCAAUAUUUAUAUUUAUGUUGGAUUUUUAUAAUUCAAUAUUCCAAAUAUAACAUAGCUAAGAUAGGUAUUUAUUUAAUUUAUAUAAAUUUUGAAUAAAAGUAUUUAUGUUGUGUUUGGUCAGGUGAAUGAAUACAUUUCACACCCCAAUUUCUUCCAUGUGUCUGUAAUAAAUUCGUAGGAAAAAUAAACAUCAUUUAUUAUCAUAGGAUAUAUUUUAUUUGUUACAAUUUAAAAUAUUAACAACAUAAUAUUUUUAAAUUAUAGCCAACUAUAUAGUCAAUAUUAUCGAAAAACAAUGUCUUUCAAGUUCAGCAAAUUUUACAUAAUAUCUCAUGGGUCCAAUUUAAUCAAUCAUUAUAACCAAUGACAUUGAGAUGCUCUUUAACAAUUUUAAAAUACUAAAUAAAGGUCCUGAGUCCUGACUCCUGAUAGAGUUUCUCCAACUUAUGAAAAUAUCAUAUUCAUGCAUACAGAACUAAUAUAAAAUCAUGGGAGGGAGGAACAGUACUGUCCUGUAUAUAUUGUUUCACUAAUGAAAUUUACACCUUAUCAUAUAACUUUUUUUUGAAAAAAGGAAUUAAUUCAAUAAUAAAAAAUCAUACGGCAUCUACCAGAACAAUCGAGUCGAACAAACAUAAAACAGAUCAUAUCGCUGAUUAAUCUAGUAUUUAUGAAAACACAAUCAAGCGAUUUGUUGAAAUUGAUAUAUGUACAUAUAUCGUAUUCACCAAAACCAGUUGAGCUAUCGAUCGUAGUUGCAAACCCAUAUUAAUCUUUAUCACUGAAUCAAACCCUUGAAAAUCCGGCGAAUCCAACGUCGUAGAUAUUGAAUCACACCAAAAAAAAAAUCUCGAAAGAUAGAAAUCGUUACCUGGGGAGGAAUAUUAUUGAAAAACAAGAAUAAAGUAAAGAAAAUAAUUAAUUUGGGACUUUUCACCGGUGAAAACGAUGGAAGCCCUGACGGCUGCUAGAAAGAAAGAAGAAUAUUUUUGAAUUUUUGUGAACAAUCCCACUAUACAACUUGCAUUGCCCAAUUAGAGUCUUUAUCAGAUAAAGGUUAAGGUAAAAAUCACGUGACUUAGAACAUAUAUUGUUGUUUUAACACUGUUUUAUUAUGUUAAUUUGUACCUGUGUACUUUUAACAUUUAAUUAAUAGGAAAAUGCAGGCUACCAAAAGACAUGCAUAACUAUCCAAUUAAAAUUAGUGAUAUAUACCUACUACGGCAUUUGGGAAAGAAUCUUGAAAACAGAAUUAGCCCAAAAAAUUUUGAAAACAGAAUUAGCCAUAGUCUUGUUUGAACGGACUAUGUUCAGAAAUAGGACUAUGUUCAUUUAACAUUUAUGUACUCCCUAGGUUUCCUAAUGUGGCUUCAAGCAUGGAAAGUAUACUAUACCGAAUCUGAUCACUAUUGAUAAUAAUAGUAAAUGUAUAUCAAAAAAACCAAUUCAAGAAAGAAGCGGCAUGACAAAGGAAUCCAAGUGCUGGUAUUCUCAGAUCAAUUAAUACAACAGUUUCUUAAUGUUAAGUUAUAGUUGUUAGAAGAGCAGUGCGAUUCUUUGCAAA
rnacentral:lncRNA from 1 species